CCCACAUUGCUCAUAAACAUAACAUAAACCCAUAAAACCAACAAUAACCUAAACAUGCAUUUCUACCCCACAAAACUCAUAAAACUUGUUUAAAACAUACUAGAAUGGCAGGAUCGAAGCUUACCUCUUGAAGAUCUAGAGGAGAAAUGAUCCUAACUUGGAGAUGGGGAAGAUCUCAACUCUUUGGUCUCCAAGCUCCAAAACUUGCUCUUUUGCUCAAAAAUCUUCAAAUCAAGAUAAAACUCGUUAAAACUCUAAAGAUCGGAGGAAAAACAUCAAAAACGAACCAUGGGAGAGCAGGGACUCACCGUGGCCGAAAAUGGAGAGAAAACUCACCCGUUUCGGCCAUGGAGCCCUUUUAUAGGGGCUGCCAGACCACCUUUCGGUAGCCUAAAGUGCUUUCAAAACUCAUGCAAGUUCGGCGGCCGAACAUGAGGUUCGGCAGCCGAACCUUUGAAACUUUCGAAAGCCUAACUUGCCCCCCUAAACCAUCCAAUGUUCGGCGGCCGAACCUGGAAAUGCCUCCUUGGUCUUUUUCAUUCAAAAACUCAAUUUCCUUUUUUACUUAAAACCAUAAAAUACAUUAAAUCAUUUUAUAAAAACAUGAUUUUACCCUUCUAGAAGUUUUCGACAUCCGAGAUUCCACCGGACGGUAGGAAUUCCGAUACCGGAGUCUAGCCGGGUAUUACAAGCACUUUCUAGACCAAUUGCCCUUAAGCGUGUUCCGAGCGUUUUGGCUCUUUAGCCCUGAUUAUUCAUCUGAGCUCUUUGAUUCUUUGUGUUCUUCGGGUUAUCUGUCCUUAAGCACUUUUGAGCUGUAACGACCCGGAAACCGAUACCCUACCGUAACGGCCUAAACCGCCACCGGCGCUAGGAUCCAGAUCGGCUUAAGGCCGUCGGGACCCGUAGCAAGCCAAACAUACCAUCUAUCACCUGGUCAAAUCCCAUACAUGAUCAAAACUUUAACAUAAAAACUGAAACAUAUGAUGUAUAGACCGAGCUUGACCUGUAUGCAACAAAACUGAAAACAUAACGAACCCCCUACUAGAGCCCUCAUCAAAACUCUAGCGGGGUCAACAUAACAUACAUCAAGCUGGGAUCACAUCCAAAGAACUAGAACCUAACCUGUACAUGCAUCAAAACCACAAACAUAAGACCUCCACUAGGGUCCUCAUCAAACAUUAGCGUAGUAAACACAACACAUGCCACAAGUUCAGUUCAAACACAACUCAACAUCUAAAACAUUACAUACAUCAUGUAUUAAACAGGGACUAACCAAGUCUUAGGGCCAAGCACAGUACUAAUCCAUAAACAUAACUCUGCUUAACUUUACUUACAUUACAAUACAUUAUCUCAGUUUACAUUACAUCAAUCUGCAAUACAUGUCCACACUAAAACACUAAUCUAAUACUAAUACAAAAGCAAAGCCUUAACUCUUGAGACUUCCCGGACGUCCUCAAACCUGCAACACUGGGGUUAGGGGAGAGGGGUGAGCUAAAAAGCCCAGUGAGUAGAAACAAAGAAAAUAGUUCAUUAAUUACAUGCUUUCAUGAAAUGCGUCACAGCACAAACAAAUCAUAUCACGGAUUGGACCUAACCCCAAAACAUCCCUAAGCUAUUUGCCCGGCCCCCAUAAAAGGCACCACAGGACUUCGUAAUGCCUGGCCCAGCCAGGUCUUAUCCAUAGGGCUAGUGGGGUCGUCCUUGGUCCAAUCUCCAUCAACAGUAAAUAAUGCAAUGCUUCAUAUUCGUGUAACUAGUGCAAUCAACCUAUUACAUAUAAACAUGAUGCAUGAGCAUGCUUUAGGCAUUUGGAAUUUCGUGAAAUAAAAGAUUAAGUUUAGUUCUAAUCACCUCUGGUAGACGCUGGACCGACUCUGCAACUGCUAACACUGAUAGCCUCCUCGAUCCCUCGGGUCCGAUCCGACAAAGGUGGACUCGAAUGAGGUGCCAACACACUCUAAACAACUCAUAAGCAACUACCCAAAAACCCCUCUAAACAUCACCAAAACAUGCAUAGAAAACAACCUUGGAAAGGCUAGACAGGGCACCUUCGGCGGCCGAACCCUCUCUCCAGAGACGAAACUCGGGCACUUUCGGCGGCACCUUCGGCGGCCGAAAGUCCCCCUCUAGAGACGAAAGUCAGGCACUUUCGGCGGCCGAACCUUCCUUCGGCGGCCGAAAGUCUGCUUUCAAGCCAAAACUCAACUUUCGAGGGCAAGGUUAGGCGGCCAAUCCAUGCAUCCAUAGACAGGUUCGGCGGCCGAAACUACUUUCGGCGGCUGAACCUGAGUUCAUCCAGAACUCAGCCUCUCAUGCAUUCAAGCCUUCCAAACCUUCCAACACCCCAAAACAUGCCUCCAACCUCACAAACACAUGCAUAAACCCAUAACCAUGCACAAAGGAGCUUAACAACUUGAUUAAACUCCGAAAACAACAUCAAAAACAUACAUAGAUAGCUUAUGACCCACAUAGGCCAAAACCAUCAAAACAACCCAACUCCUCAUAUACUCUCUCCCCAUCAUGCAUACUCACUCCCACAUGCAUAGACUAGCUUAAACUUUCAACAUAUCAUCACAUAAACAUAUAUAAACAUACAUUUGCAUAAAAAUCCACAUAAACCCUAACAUGCAUAUCUACCCAUACUCAACCAUUAAAACCUCUUAAAACUUACUUAAAACUUCAUGAAACAUAAAGGAAAGCAUAGAUCCACACUUACCUCUUAAAGAUCGAGGGUUUGUGCGAGCUCUAACUUUGAGAUGGGAGGAACCAACUCCUUGGGUCUCUAAGUUCCCAAAACUUGAUCUAAGCUUGAAAACUCUUCAAAACAGCCAUAAAACUCAUGAAGACAGGAAGGAGAUGAAGAAAAACAUGAAAAACGGCCAAGGGAGGACAAAAACUCUCCUGAGCUCGAGAAUAGAGAGAAAACUCGCCUAUUUCCGAUUUGAGGGCUCUUUAUAGGUGGCCUGGUCGAAGACCUUCGGUAGCCUAACAUGCCCCCUAAACUCAUGCAUGUUCGGCGGCCGAACUUGACUUUCGGCGGCCGAACCUUGGCUCGUUCAAACAAGACUUUCGGAGGCCAAAGGCGCUCCCGAAGCCUUCCUAUGUUCGGCGGCCGAACUUUACUUUCGGCGGCCGAACCUGGCAAAUGCCUCCUUGGCCUUUUCUUUUCAAAACUCAAUUCAUUUCCAUUUAAAACCAUGAAAUCAGUAAAAACAUUUUAGAAAACACAUUUUACCCCUCUAGAAGCCUCUGGCAUCUUCAAAAAUUCCAGAUUUCGACGGAGAUUCCGCCGGAAGGUAGGGAUUCCGAUGCCGGAAUCUAGCCGGGUAUUACAUGAGUACUUUUACUCUUGAUCGUCCGAGAUCUUUGGCUUGCUGGUCUAGUUUACGACUUCUUUUUCCUCAACUCGGAUUUCUGGUGUUGGGGGCCUAUUUCCGAGACCGAUCACCUGCCUUGUUGGACUUCUUUAUUUUCUUAAUUUAGUUUUUUGGUGUCGAGAGUAUAUAUUUUCGAGACGGGUCAGUAUCAGGUCUUAAUUUUAUUUUGAUUUGGGCCGAGCUCUCUUUUGAGGUCGAUGUUAUGCCUUAGUUUUAACUUUCUUCGAGUUUUAAAAGUGUCGAGCCCCCCCAUUUUUCAAGGAUGAGAUUAUACCUUAGCUUUAUAUUUCUGCGGGCCGAGCUCUUUUGUGAGGCCGAUAUCAAGCCUUGGACUUAUUUUUCUAUGAGCUGAGCUCCUUUGUGAGGUCGAAAUCAGGCCUUAACAUUUUCCUUAUGAGUCUUGUAUAUGCCAAAGUCGUCUCUUAAACUUAGCAUCAUGUCUCUUGGUUCGUUUUCUUUUGGCUUAUAGCCUUGCUGAUAUAGACCUUCAUUAUUGGCCCUUAUCUCCUUAACCGAUUUUGUAGUGUCAAUAGUCUUAUUUUCAAGAUUGGUCACUUACCUCAUUGAGGGCUUCGUCUUCCUAACCGUUUUUGUGGUGUUGACAGUCUUAUUUCUGAGACCGGUCAUCUACCUUAUUGAGGGCUUUGUCUUCCUAACCAGUUUUGUGGUGCUGGCGGUCUUGUUCCGAGACCGGUCACUCACCUCAAUGGGGUCUUCACCUCCUCAACUGGUUUUGUGAUGCUGGUAGUCUUAUUUCCAAGACUGGUCACCUACCUCAUUGAGGGCUUUAUCUUCCCAACCGGUUUUGUGGUGCUGGCAGUCUUGUUCCAAGACUGAUCACCCACCUUAUUGGGGUCUUCAUCUCUUCAACCGGUUUUGUGGUGCUAGCGGUUUUAUUUCUGAGACCGGUCACCUACCUCAUUGAGGGUUUCAUCUUUCCAACCGAUUUUUUGGUACAAGCGGUCUUGUUUCGAGAUCAGUCAUCCACCUCAUUAGGGUCUUUAUCUCCUCAACCAGUUUUGUGGUGCCGGCAGUCUUAAUUUCUAGACCAGUCACCUACCUCAUUGACGGCUUCGUCUUCCCAACCGUGUUUGUGGUGCCGAAGGUCUUGUUUCGAGAUCGGUCACUCACCUUAUUAGAGUAUUCAUCUUCUCAAUCGAUUUUUUGUGCCAGCGGUCUUAUUUUCGAGACCUGUCACCUACCUCAUUGAGGGCUUCAUCUUCCUAACCGGUUUUGUGGUACCGACAGUCUUAUUCCGAGACUGGUCACCCACCUUAUUGGGGUCUUCUAGUUUUAUAGUCGAGGCUUCGAGGUUUAUUAGCCUUAUUCUUUCUUUUAAAAUUUAUUUGCAAAAUAAAAGCUUGCGCAGAGUAUAUAUAACAAGAAUGCUCGUUGUUAAUUUGAACAAUAAGAUAUUUAGCUUCAUAUUUCAACUGAAUGUAAAAUAUUAAUUUUAUCAAACUAUAUCAUCUCAUAUAAUUCCAAAGAAUUUAAUUGAUAAUGUUUCUUAUGCAUAAAUCAUUCUAUAGCUUUUAAUUCUCAUACCAGCAUACUUUAAACAAAUAACUCCUUUCUCAGUGAGUUCAUAUUAAUCAUAGAUAAGGGCUUUUUAAACUACUUCAGUACAUUACCACGUUUGGGCUUAUAUACACAAGGUUUUCAUAUAAAACUGUAAAAUUUGUGAAUAGUUCAUGUUGACAAGAAUGUUUUCAGCUAAAGAAAGUGAUCGUACAACUGGAGUGAAUCAUGCGCACCACUUCUCUUCCAUAUGGAGCGGAUUGCCCUUGUGUUGCAUUCCCUUCUCACAUCGGCGUCUACCUUUUUUUGACUUUCAUUGUGUGGUUUUUAGAUGCCGUUAGCGAUUCUCAGGUCUUCUCUCUCUUUCUUUUAGUUUCCCUUGUUGUUUGAUUACUAGCUUUUCUCAGUUUGACACGUGGAUCUCAAUGGAUUUUGUUUGGAAACUCCAGUGAUAGUAUAGUCUCUUUCGUCCUCACAGACAACGCCACUUGAUAAUGGUAAAAUCCGGUGAGACGUCUAGACGAUGACACUUAGAUAGAGGUUUGAUUCGUUGGGUUGAUCAUCAUUCUGUGAUCGGUCCGUUAGAUUUCUCUAUACUUGACUUUAAGGAAUGUGACUUGUAAGAUGAAGAAGAAGGUCAGGAGACCACAGGGGAGUUUUUCGAUGGAGACCCUCCGAUGCUCAAGUCAAAUAUGAGAACUUCAUGGAGUUAAGGGAAGUAAAAUAGAGAAGAGAAGAGAAGAGAAGAGAAGAGAAUAGUAGUUCUGAAUUCUUCCUGCGUGACUGCGAGAAAGAGGAAUAUCGGUCCCUUUUUCGAGAAGGAGAGAUCUCCUUUUUUUAGGGUGAGUUCGGUGUAUAAAUGCCUUUGAAUAAAGUUGAUACCCCUAGUGUCAUGUCCUUUUGUGAUGGAACAAGGAUACUUUUCUUCAGGUGUGUCAGACAAUACAUUAAUGAUAAGCUAUAGGAUAAUAAAUACGGAACUGGCCGGUUUGUACCUUCUACAUGCGUACUUAUGAUCCUUGUGCUGAACCAAGAAGGCGACCAACUCAUACGAGGUCGACAUCUUUACCCUAACUUCAUCAAGUCGUGCCAAACUCGUCUGAUGUACAUAAAAAUGAGCUCCUUCCAGUUAAUGAGGUCGGCCACGUCGGCGUUCAAAACCUUGUUGUAGUGCGGACUUUUGAAGAGGUCGGUCUGUUAGUCCUCUUCAGUCUUUGAGGAGGUUGAUCUGUCCAUUCCGAGUUUGGGUAAAUUUAGGAAAAUUACUAGUCUGAUUCUUUAUACUCAAUAGAUCAAGUUUUUUACUGUGCGGUCCGAUCAGAUGAAAAUUUUUUUGAUUUACAUGUACACGUGUCACAAUCUUGGAUCCUAUUUUUUUUAUAGGAUAUCAAUAAUUUUAUUUAAUUUUAUCUUAAUUUUUUAAAAUAUUUUUUAGUAUUUAAUAAAAUUUAAUGUAUUUAAAAUAAUUAUAAUUGAAAAGUCAAUAAAAAUUAUUUUUUAAUAUAUAUAAAAAAUAAAAUAAAUAAAAUUAUGAAAUGAAAGGAAUAUCAAAUAAAAUUAAAAUUUAUUUAUUUUAUAAAAAUUAUUUUUCAUAUUUUUUAACAUUAAAAAUUUAGAUAAAAAGAAAUAUUUUAGUAAUUAAAAAAAUAAAACAUUUUUAAAAAAUAACUUCAUCAUUCAAAAGAAAACUAUUUUUCACAUAUUAAAAUUUUAUUGAAAUAUUUAUAAAUAAAUUUAUUAAUAAAUUUAAUUUUUUAAAUUAAAAUUAAAUAAUAAAAAAUAAAUUAUUUUAUUAAAAAAUAUUUUUUAAAUAUAAAUUAUUUUUCAUAAAUAAAUGAAAUGUAAAAGAUUAAAUUAUUAAUUUUUUUAUCUAUUAAACAAAAGUCAUGAAAUUCAUAUCAAAAUUUAAAAUAUCACUCAGUUUGAAUUAAAUGAAAAAUUAAAAUUCUCUAAUGUCCAUGAAAAUGAAUUAAAUUUGGAUCCAAUAUUCAAACCCUUUGCCUAAAGAAAGGAGAGGAAAUCCAAAAUUGCGUUUUCUAUUCUGUAUGAUUACAAGUUACGCGGACUACAGUUGUUUAUCCUCCAAUCAAUUAAAUAGCCUAAUAAAAAUAUUAUUUGUGUCAGAUUCAGCCCACGAUUCUCACAGAUGACCUUGACCCCAAAUUAGACGCCAAGGUCGGAGGACCCCACCAAGUCUGUUUUUGCAAGAAAUUUCCUUCGUCUGGUGAAGUCUAAAUAGCACAAGCAAAUCCUCCCACUAACACAUAUAUUUACUAAUAAAAUUUUUUUAUAUAUAUCUCUUUUAUGUGAUUAUUUAAUAUAUAAACUUAGUUAUUUUUUGAUAAUAAUUUUAAAAUAUAGUAUUUAAUAUUUUGAGUCGAUAAAUUAUAAAAAAAUAAUUUUUAUAAUAUUUGACUUGACCGCAAUCACAAUAAAUAAGAUUUAAUACACCCACGGAGCCAACACUUUUUUUUUUGCUUUUUUUCCUUUGAAUUUUCUUUUCUAGUACUGUUUUUUUCUUUUGAAUUUUCUUUCUUGUUGUUUUUUGAUUUGCAUGGUUGCUAUUACUUCAAGUCCGUGAUAACUAUCCAAAGUCUUCUUCCUCUCAUAAAACAAGUCUCUGCUGCUGCUGUCAACUUCCCACUUCAUAAUCCUCAGACUGGUUCUAAUCACUCUUCAAAGAUAAAGCAGAAAGCAAGCCAAGCAAUUCUCACCAUUUUCAUGGAAAAAAUAAACUCCCCUGAAAUCCGAUUUUCUUUUUCUCUUCUUCUUUUUUUCCUCCACUUCAUAUCACUUCACCUUCUCUCUUCUGCUUACACUCGCCCCACAGAGUAUUUCAUCAGCUGUGGUUCAAACACUGUUAUUUCUUCCGCUGGCCGGAACUUCACCGGGGACUCAAGUUCUGGAAAUUCUCUUUCUUUCACCUUCAAAGGACAGAGCAGUACUGUUAUAGAUAGCAAUAAGUCAACGAAAACACCACCUCUGUAUCAAACAGCUAGACUCUUCAAGCAAAAAUCAUCUUAUGAGUUUGAAAUCAGUAGCUCUGGUACUUAUCUGGUACGUCUUCACUUCUUUGCUUUCUCAUCCGCAGAUAAUCUCUCUGCAGCUCAUUUCGAUGUUUCGGCUUCUGGGUUUUCAUUGUUGAAUAAUUUCACUCCAAAAUAUAACAGCAGCGAUCCUGUAAUAAAAGAAUUCAUACUUACUAUCAAUAAAGGCAAAUUCAGCAUAAAUUUCAUGCCACAAGGAUCAUCUUUUGCGUUUGUUAAUGCCAUGGAAGUGUUCCUUGCUCCAGAGAAUUUCAUUCCAAAUGAUGCUUCACAUAUCAGUAUUGCAGGAAAUAGUGGGAAAAAUUAUGUGGACAUACUCUCUGAGGCAUUACAAACAAUUCACAGGAUCAACGUCGGUGGCAGUAACCUCACGCCGGAGAAUGACACUCUAUGGAGAUUUUGGGUUCCAGAUGAUAGUUACCUCUACAUGCCAGCCACUGCCAAGAACAGCACUUUUCAUUCAGACAAGCCUAAUUACUUGCAAGGAAUGAGCGAAUAUAUAGCCCCGGAUCUUGUCUACCAGACGGCCAAGGAGAUGAAUAUAAAUAGCGGCAGACUUGCAAAUAACUUCAACGUAACCUGGUCAUUUAGUGUCAGUAAAAAUGCUAGGCACUUUGUUCGAGUUCAUUUCUGCGACAUAAUUAGUCCAACUCUUGGUGUUAUAGACUUCAAUCUCUUUAUCUAUAGCAGAUUCAGCAUUGUAAUUGAUCCUUAUGACAGAAUUGGCCACCUAGCAGCUCCUUUUUAUCUUGACUUUGUUGUGGAUUCUGAUGAUUCUGGACUUAUGAAUUUUAGCAUAGGCCCUCGUGCUGAUUCUGAUAUAAAAACUGCUUUCUUGAAUGGGUUGGAAAUUAUGCAGAUCGUGGGAGAAUCUGGUUCAGAAUCAAGAACAAAUGCGCCUAACAAGACUCGUAUCUUUAUCAUUGUUGGCUCAAUUGUUGGAGGUUUGGGUCUUAUAUGCAUUUUGGCAGUUGUUGUAGGCUUGUGUUUAAGAUGCAGGAAACCAAAAACAGUAGAAAAUUGGGAAUGGUCACCAGUGCCUCUACAUAGAGGGGGAAGUUCUCACAACAGAAUGGCUGAGGGAAGCGUAAUUGGCUCAAGGGUACCUGAUUUAAACCUUGGAUUAAAGAUAUCUUUUGCUGAAAUUCAGUUUGUAACCAACAACUUCGAUGCGAAAAUGAUAGUUGGUAAGGGAGGAUUUGGGCAUGUUUUUAGAGGAACUCUGAGGAAUGGAAUCAAAGUUGCUGUGAAGAGAAGUCAGCCAGGAUCAGGCCAAGGCCUUCCAGAAUUCCAAACAGAGAUUAUGGUGUUAUCCAAGAUUCGUCAUCGCCAUCUUGUCUCCCUAAUUGGGUAUUGUGAUGAAAUGUCAGAAAUGAUACUGGUUUAUGAAUUCAUGGAAAAUGGUACAUUGAGAGAUCAUCUGUAUAACUCAGCUCUGCCUUCCUUGUCCUGGAAGCAAAGGCUUGAAAUUUGCAUUGGUGCAGCAAAGGGACUUCACUAUCUCCAUAGAGGUGCUUCUGGGGGAUUUAUUCACCGAGACGUUAAGUCCACAAACAUCUUGCUUGAUGAAGAUCUUGUUGCUAAAGUUGCUGAUUUUGGCCUUUCAAGAUUAGGUCCUCCUGAUCAAACCCAUGUCAGCACAGGCGUUAAAGGAACAAUUGGUUAUCUUGAUCCUGAUUAUUUCAGGACUCAACAGUUGACAGAAAAAUCUGAUGUCUACUCAUUUGGUGUAGUGCUUCUUGAGGCUCUUUGUGCAAGACCAGCUAUCAAUAUCAUGCUUCCAAGGGAGCAAAUAAAUCUAGCUGAAUGGUGUAUGAUUUGCAAGGAAAAAGGGACAAUUGAAGAGGCUGUGGAUCCUUCAAUAAAAAGUCAGAUAAAUCCCAAUUCUCUAAGAAAAUUUGCUGAGAUAGCAGAGAAAUGUCUGCAAGAAAAUGGUGCUGAUAGGCCUACCAUGGGAGAUGUGCUGUGGGAUUUGGAGUAUGCAUUGCAAUUGCAACAAACAGCUGUACAGAGACAGCCUCAUGAGGACAGUGCAACUGAUGCUUCAGCGAUGAUUGGCUUGCCUAACAUUCAACAUUUUCCAUCUUUCAGCAUGUCAGUUGAAAAAGAUGAUUUGCCCAUCUUGAGGGACGACAGUGCAAAUAUAUGGGCAAGUGAAGUUUUCUCCCAAUUGAAAAUUGAUGAUGCCAGGUAAAAUUGUAAACUUUUUUUGGUCUUCUAAAUUUUCUUUUUGGCACCUAUUUUGGUCUGGAUUAACACUGCUGUGAAAUUGUAAAGAUGGGUUUGUAAUAGCAGAAUUGUAUUUGUACCAUAAGCAAUAAGUUUUAUGAUUUCUAAGCUGCUUCUUCCCCUAGAAAACUAUGCUAAUUUUCCAUUUAGCCAAUCAGAAUUUGGAAGACAAUUUCUGUAUUUAAAAUUAUGCCCAUCAUCAAUAAGCUACCAAUAUGCCUUUCCACAUAUGUAGCCUGACUUGCCAAGCAUCUUUUAUUACUAUUUAAAAUUAUGGUAGGAAAAACAUCACCAUCAAUUCAAGUGGCUACUCACAGUCAAGCUUUACUGAACUGCUAUUUUUUUUUAUAUUUUUUAAUUUUUAUUGUCUAUUUUAAUAAUAAAAUAAAAAUGAUUCUCACAAAAACAUAAAAUAAAAAUGAAUUAUAUAUUUAUUUAAAUAGUAAAAUAAAUGAUUUGAUUUUAUAAAUUAAUAAUUUUAUAUUUAUUUUAAUAAUAAAAUAAAUUCUAUAUUAUAUAUUCUUAUUAGUCAUAUUAGCUAUUAAAAAUUAUUAAACACUUCAUAUAAAUCAAUUAUUAGUUGUAUUAAUUGUACCCUUAAAAUUUCCCAAUUAAUUCCAAAAUAAGAAAUGAAAAGAAAAUGGCAUCCAUGACAUAUCUUGAAUUGUUGACAAGUAUGAACAAAGCCAGUGGUCUGACAUUAUUCUGGGCUUUCUUUUGCGGAAGCCGACUUUCAAACUCCAUAUUAGCUUCAGCCUCGUUUACUCCGGCCGGAUUAUUGGCUAUUCCCAACCCAGUACUUAACAUGGAAUCUGCUUGGUGCAAAAAUGGAAUGUGCAGAACCCAAAUAUAUUACAUGAUAAAUAUGUACUUCUGCCAGCUUAGAUGUAGCUAAAUAUUACAUGCUGAAAAUUUCUCCUGAUGGAUGAAACAGGAGUGAACAUCCACAGUUGUUAUGUACGCACCGUAACUAACAAAAUCAAAGAAUUUUUCUGAAACAUGCUCUUAAUCUUUUAGCCUAGAUCUCUGCGUGGCUGCUAGAUACACGAACUAGCUAGUUACAAGCGUAAAACAUUUCAUAAUCAACAACAAACAAGUGAAGCACAGGCAGAGAGAUGGAUGUUUAGUGGCCAGAGCCUUUCCUGCUAGGCCCUGAAGCCACGGUGAACACUGCAGCUGCUGCUGAAUCUUGAUGAUUAUCAUCCACAUCCUUUGCAGACUUGGCAAGAUAACUUGCUUCGUCUAUAGAUACAGAACCGAAUCCAGCAGGAAUAGACUCCUGGUGGUUAGUAUUUUCCUGGCUUGCUGGUGAUGAAAAGAGAAGCAUCACUACCACCACGAAAGCCAAAGAGAAGCGGCUCAUUGUUGGUGUUGGUGGGAUGUCUUUGCUUUACUCCAUAUAUAUAUAUAUAUAUAUUCUUUUGUAGCAAAAAGAAUGGAGGGUCUCUUUGUCUUUUGGCAAGCGCAAAGAAUGGAGGUGAAAGAACUGAUUUGGAAUCUCCAAUUCAUAAGGCACCGCCACUGGCCUUUAUGCAAGAAGAUAUAUAAUUAAUAGUUUGAAUGGCAAAGGACGGAGAAGGUCUUUUAGAAAGUGGAAGCUUUCCAAAAGAAACAUUUGACUCUCAGAAUUUUUCUAUUCGCAGCAGUGCUUCACUUUCGUAUUUGGCUUUUGUUUGUUCAUUAAUGGCUUGCCUAUUUUGGAAACCAAGCUUUCAAGCUCAGGCCAAUGCAUGCUGCGUUCUCAUAUAGAUUUAUUCACCUGGAAAGUUUCUAUUCAUUUUCAUUGGAAAAUUAUUAUUUAAUCCCUCAAUUAUAUUAAACAUUAAUGGUUUACUGUCUAUUUUUGGUAAUUAAAUUAUAAUUGAAGGACCAAAAAUAUUAUUAAGAAGUGUAUGAGGUUAGAAUCAAUAUAAAUUAUGAUAUCUCAAUUUGUUAAAGAAAAAUUUACUUCUUUAGGGGAGGGAACAAAAUUAACAAAAUUAUUUUCAUAAAAAAAAAAAAUUGAACUAAAAUAAAAAUAUAAAAUUCUAAUAGAUUAAAAUUAAAUAAUAUAAAGUAUAUAAAUAAAAGUUAUAUAUUAGAUAAGAUAAUGAUAGUAGUGAAUUUCAUUUGCCUGGCAAUAUCAAAAAUUAGAAUACUACUGUAUUAAAACUGGCGUAAUAAUUUGGCAGCGGGACAUAAAAGGUCAAAAUUUUACUUAAAAUUUUUUAUUUUGAACAAUAAAUUCUCUAAUUUUUAAAUUUAUUGUAAUUACUUAAUAUAAAAAUUUGAAACUUUACAGUUGGUCACUAUUAUUAUUCCAAAAAUUUUAAUAUUAUGUCCAAAUUUUUUAAUUUUUUAUAAUUAUAAUUAAUUCUUAAAAUAAUUAUGCUCAAAUGUAAAUUAGUACAUGUUUAAUGCUGUGAGUAAUUUAUUUACUUUUUUAAAUAUUAGUUAAAUUUAUAUUAAUUAAUCAUAUAUACUAAAAAUAUUUAAUUUUUAUUAUUUUAAUCCUUCAUUUAAAACUAAAAUCUUCUUGUGAAUAAAUCCCUAAAUCUAACUAGGUGAGGACUAGCUAAUAUAUAAAAAGGUAAAUAAAUAAUAUUUAAUUAGAGUUAGCACAUGACAUUUUAAUGAAUCUCUAUUUACUUUUUUAAUUAGAAUUAAAUGAUUAAUUACAUAGAUUUAAUUAAUAUUUAAAAAAUAAAUAAAUAAUAUAUUAAUUUAAAUUUAAUUAAAAUUAUUUUAAAGAAUGAUUAUAAUUAUAAAAAAUUAAAUAUAAUAUUAAAAUUUUUUAUUAUAAUUGUGAUUAAAUGUAAAGUUUUAAAUUUUUAUAUUUAAUUUAAUAAAUUAUUUAAAAAAUUAGUUAUAAUUAUGAUAAAUUUAAAAAUUAAUAUUUUAUUAUUUAAAAUCAAAAGUUUCGACCAUAAAAAUUAUGAUUGGACCUAAAACUUUGACUUUUUAGGUAGAAUAAAAGAAAAAAUAUACAUUCAAGGUUCAUUGAACCAUUUGAUUUAACCUGACGAAAGUUAUUAAUUUUGAAGAUUAUAAGUGAUCACCGCUCGAUUUUUCUAGCCCCAUAUGAGGCCGGGUCCACAGUAGCAGCCGCCAAUCAGAUUAGUUCAGCCCAUUUCGGCUUUAAAGUUAGCUCUUUCCUAAGUUUCGGCCCUUUUUUCUCAAAUCUGGCCACAAAAAGAAAACACUGCAGGUCUAGUCAUUUCGCAGCCCUGAUCACGCACGCGCCGAAGGGAAUUAAAUGCUCGCCUGACAUAGGGAGAGUCCUGAGAUUAUCCUGACGCACGGCACUGCAUCAAGGGGGUAGGUGGACCUAUAGCGGAGGGGCCAUCUCGCGUGAGGAAGAAGAAAGCGGAUAAAAGGGAGAUAAUACUGGCUCUAAGGGCUAAGUUUUUCUCCAAACUUAUAAAACUCUUGUAAAACCCUACUUUCUGAAUCUCAGAUUAUCAAUAAGCAUAUUCAUUGGUAUCCAUUAGUAAAUUAAUUAUUCUUUUUUUAUUAUUAUAUUGAUUCAUUGGGUAUUAAAUGAGUUUGAGAAAAAUCUAAAUCCCAAAUGCGAACAUAUUUUUUAUUGUUGGAAAAAAUUACCGAGUAACUAAUGACAACAUAUUCAUGUAUUAUGUCUUUUGAGUUGAGGUUUCUUUAAGAGCAUGUUUUUUAGGAUCUUAUAUUGAUUAUGGAUUAUGUGUGUGAAUAAGGAUAUUUGGUUUAACUAUUAGAUAUACCCAUAGUUAUGGACAUCUAAACUGUAAAAUCAAAGUAUUUAAUAAAUAUUUAAGAGACCAGCUGAUAAUAAGAUCAACUCUAUGAUUAGAGUUGUUUCCAAUUAGACUUUAAUUUUUAUUUAAUUAAUAAAUAUUUUUUAAAAUUUAUUAGUUAUAACAUUUUAAAUUAAAAUUUUUAUAUAAAUAAAUUAUUUAAAAUCAUAAAACAUAAUAAUAAAUUAAAUAUAUUAUAUUAAGGUAGUUAUACUAUUCAUCAUUAUUAUAUGAAUAAAAAAUUAUAUAUAUGCGUGAUAAAUAAUUAUAUUUUAAAAAUUAUUUUUUUAAUAAAUUAAUAAUUUUAUAUUUAUUUUGUUAUUAUAAUAAAUUAAUAUACACUGAUCAACUGAGAUUUAAUAGGGUCACCAAAUGCAGAUAUUUGAAUUAUGACUUGAUUCGAUAGACAGAUCAAUGACUCUGAUUUGAGGAGUGAAUGACUUUGAGAUUUCAUAUGAAUUCUUUUAUACUUGAUUUUGAGAAAUGAGCCUGUAAAAUAUCAGAAAAUAGUUAUGAUCUAUCGGGAAUGCCUCGGUGGAGUCCAUUCGACAUUCAAAUUAGAUCCAAAAUUUUUAGAGUGAUGACUUAAUAUAAAAGAUGCAAAGAGAAAUAAAUCAGAGAAGAAAAGAAAAGAGAAAGAUUCGAAGAGAAUAGAAAGGAUGUGUUCGAGAAUUUCUGUAUAAGUGUGGGAGAGAGGGAGUCCAGGCUCUUUUGGAUUAGAUUAGUGAUAUAUAUACCUCUGAUCGUUCUGACACCUCUUGUGUUAUGUCUCGUCAAACUGGACUGGGAUGCUUUUUUAUUGCUGUAUUAGGCGGCUUAUUAAUGACGGUUGAUUGGAUAAUAAAUGCAGUGCCGGCUAGUCCAUACCUUGUCUAUCAUGUGUGUCAUGUCAAUUUAUUUUACCGCAUGAGCAUUUAUGACCCCGAUGAUGUACCAAGGAGACGAUUAGUACGUAGAAGAUUUGCAUCCUACCCCAGUCAAGUCGUGCUCAGCUUACCCAGUCUGUAUUGAGGUGGGUUCCCUUAGUUACUUAUGAUUGGUUAAGCUUACAUCUAAUACCGAGUCUCGAAAGGGUUUAUCCAUCUACUCCGGACUUUGGUAGGGUCAUGAGUGUUGCUUUGAUCUUCGUAUCUCAUAGGUCGGGCUUUCUGCUACCCGGUUGGACCAGUUGGUUAUAUUUACAGAAGUAUUCUAAAUGUCAUAUACACAUGUCGUGAUCUUAACGAGCCCUGUUAUUUAUAUAUUAUCAAAUGCCCUUUCGCUUCUCCGAAGAUUAUUUAUGACAGUUGGAGGAGUGAAUUUAAUCUUAUGAAGCUGUUAUGGAAGGUUUUCGACACAUUUUUCUCCGAGAAACAUACCCUCAUCAUUAUCAUUUCUUGAACAGGCACCAUUAUAUGAAGGCAAUAAUUAUCAGGGUUUCUUGAAGAAUCGCUACCUAAGGUCUUUUGGAAAUUUUGAAAUUUGAAUUUCCCAGCCUAUAAAAGCCUUUCUUUGGACGCUUUAAACCACUUUGACAUUUUUGAACUCUUUCUUUCCUGUUUCAAACUCCCUCCUUCUUCAGCUCUUCCUUUGAGAUUUUGCUUGCUUCAGAUAUAUCUCCCUUUCUUACGGCUCCCUUAGAAUUCCCUCUAUAGAGAGGUUGCAGUGUAAUGUUACUUCAAAACAUCUUCGGAGAGCCAUUCCUGCAGAGUUUCUUCUUACGAAGUCCUAUCAAAUUAGGGCUCCACAUUCCUUUAUGAGGAUUGCUCUAUUCUCUUCUCCUUCUCUUCCUAAGCUAGUUGAUACUCAACAUAGCAAAAAGCUAGUCUUUUACUUGAAAUAGUUUGACUAUGGCCUGUCUUUUCAUCUCUCUCAUUUCUUUGUUGAGGUCUUCCAGUUCUAUCGAGUGUCUCCUAGGAUGCUAAUUCCCAACUCUAUUUUAUUCAUACACACCUUUGAGACAGUGUGCUAGGGAUGGGGAUUCAAACCAUUUGUGAAUCUCUUUAGGUGUAAUACCCGGCUAGACUCCGGUAUCGGAAUUCCUACCGUCCGGUGGAAUCUCGGAUGUCGGAAGUCUCUAGUAGGGUAGAAACAUGUUUUCAAAAAAUGUUUUGAAGUAUUUCAUGGUUUUAAGUAUGAAAAUUUAAUGAGUUUUUGCAUGAAAAGUCUUUGGAGGAAAACCCAGGUUCGGCCGCCGAAAGCCAAGUUCGGCCGCCGAACAUGUAUGCGUUUUGGAGGCACGUUAGGCCCCCGAAAGCAUGAGUGAGGGAAGUUCAGGUUCGGCCGCCGAACCUCAAGUUCAGCUGCCGAACAUGGCAUGCAUGCGGAGGCACUUUCGGCCCCCGAACGUGGCCUGGCCAGCCACUAUAAAAGGGUCCCUUAGCCGAAAAUGGGCGAGCUUUCUCCCCAUUUCCGGCCAAGGUGAGCUCUCCGCCGCCCCCUCACCGAUCUUGAGUUCUUUCCUUCCCAUCUUACUCGAUUUUCAUGAGUUUUUAUUUGGUUUUGAAGAUUUUGAAGCUUUGAGCAAAGUUUUGGAGCUUUGAGGUUCAAGAACCCAAAAUCUCCCACCUCCGAGUUUAGGACGUCUCCCUCUCGAUCUUCAAGAGGUAAGAGCCGAUCUUAAGCUCAUUUUAUGUUUAAAGUAAGUUUUAUGCAAGAUCUAUGGGGUAGAAUGCAUGUUUAGCUCAUAGUUAGGUUUUUGAGUUAAUGAUGUGUUUUGAGCAAUGUAUGUUGGAUUGUGUUGUUGUUGUGUGUUGUAGUUGGGGUUUAAGGUAGUUUGAGACCCCUAGGAGCUUGUAUGCAUGUUUUGGUUGAGUUAUAUGCAUGUUAGAAGAGUUAGGAGGCAAAUGUGCAUAAAGGAGCCAAGUUUCUGCCCUUUGGCAGAAACCAGGUUCGGCAGCCGAAGGAGCUUUCGGCCGCCGAACAUGGCUGGGGAGGCAGGCCUUUCGGCUGCCGAAGUUGCCCCCGAAAGGAGACUUUCGUCUCUGUCUGGCACUUUCGGCCGCCGAAGGUGCCGCCGAACAUGCAUGAGUUUCGCCUCUGUCUGGGAGUUUCGGCCGCCGAAGGUGCCGCCGAACCUGCCUGACUUUCGGCUCUGGAGGGACUUUCGGCCGCCGAACCUGCCGCCGAAAGUGCCCUGUUCAGCCAUUUCUUGCAUGUUUUUCUAUGAUUGUUUCAUGAUGUUUUGGGGGGUUUUUGGGGAGUAUAUUAGAGUUAUGUUUAUGUAUGUUUGGUCCCUCAUUGGAGUCCACCUGUCUAGGUUCGGACCCGAGGAACCGAGGACCCUAGCAGUGAGCCAGCUGCUACAGAGUUUAUCAGAGCUAGCCAGAGGUGAGUGGAAUAAACCUUAAGUUUUAAAAUAAAUGAAAUAUGAAUUUUGAGCAUGAUCCAUGCAUCAUGAAUGCCAUGAAAUAUAGUAGGUUGUCUGCAUUAGUAUUCACGAAUAUGUUGCAUUGCAUUUAUGAUGUUGAUGUGGAUUGGUUAUUGGAUGAUCCUUUAGUCCUCAUAUGGCAUGAUGAUGUUACGACAUGAUAUGGUAUGGAAGUCCAGGUUGUACCCAUUCUACGUCCCUGGCACGAUAUAAGAGAAAGUCUAGGUUGUACCCAUUCUACGUCCCUGGCACAUUGGUAUGUUAUGAUAUGUUAUGAUAAGAGAAAGACCGGUUGUACCCAUUCUACGUCCCGGCACAGUUGGACUAUGUAGAGGACUAUUGGUGACAAUACCAUCCGAGAUGUGAUUAGUUGUGAUGUGUUGCAUUACAUAAUGGCAUGAAAUUUUAAUAUAUGAUUUCACUAUUCUGCUCACUGGGUUUUGUAGCUCACCCCUCUCCCCUAACCCUAGCUGUGCAGGUACAGGGUAGACCAGGAGCUGCUCACUGGGCUUUAUGUAUGUUUAUGUAAUAGUUAGAUUGUGGACAUGACAAUUGUACUAUGAUGUAAUGUAAGAGAUUACAGCAUGUUAUGUAAUGAGGUAUAUUGAGGUUAUAGAUGUGCUUGACCCUAUGUGUAUUGUAAUCCCUUGUUGAUGCAUGAUCUUAGUUAUUUGGUGAUGCAGAUGUUAGCCAACUCAUCUCAUGUUGUAUCGCCCGUUGGGGCAUUGAUGAGAUCCCACAGAGGGAUCACGAUUAUGAUCAUGACUAUGUACAUGUAUGUUCAGGUUGAGUUGGAUGUUUUUAAGGAAAAGUUUUAAAUUUUUAUGCAUGUUGUUGAUCAUGUAUGGGAUUAUACAGGUUUACAGGUUAUAUGUCAGGCUUGCUACGGGUCCCGGCGGCCUUAAGCCGAUCUGGAUCCUAGGGCCGGUAGCGGUCCGAUUUUCGGGUCGUUACAUUAGGACUUUUUUUAAGAUCCUUAAGUUGAAUAACAGAUUUUGGAGCAUUAGUGGCCGCAUGGGUUUGUCUAUUUUCACAGGCCAUAAGGAUUCUAUCAGUCAUUGGGUCCAAAACUUUGUUGUUAUUCAUUUGAGGAGAGAAUAGGGUUGGGGCUUUGAUACAUCUUGGGAAGAUAUUAAUUCUGAGUGUAAUAUUUUUUUCCUAUUUGUCAGAGUGGGAGCAAUUGUAUUUUGCUCGUCUGACUUCUCUUCCUUAUAAUUAUGACAUUUUCAAAUGUCUGCAACUAAUGGGUGAGACCACAAUGCCAUGGAAUUUCACAUUGUCUAGGGAUUUCGUCAAGCAGGCUGUUGAGCAGUUUACUACUCGAAAGACUAUAGAAGUCGUUCACAAUGCCCUUGGUCUUGAUCCUCAACAAAGGGAGAGCACGCAACCUUUGACAAUCGUGGGAUCUCCUUUAAAUAUAAUUGCCGAGGAGGGUGUUGUGGAGAUGUCGGAGAAAGUAGGUGCUAGAAAAAUAGUUGAAGAAAGAGGUGUCCAGCAAAUGACUCCUAAGGGAGAUAAUCCUCGCGGUCCUCCUGAUGCCCUUAUUAUCCGGGUUCCCUCACUUGACCACUUUGCAGAAGGGGAGGAUGGGGCUUCAGAUGGCCUGACGAGGAAGAAUACAUGGGCCUCCUCCAAGGUCCGAUUUUUCCCAACCUCAAAAGAAGAGAAGGAGGCUGGUCAAAGAAUCUCAACUACAUGAGUCUCCGAGUAGGGGAGCCUCCUUAGGUGAUCGCGCAAGAAGCACCUCUAACACGGUAAGGGGAGCCUGUCUACCGACGUCAGUACAGAGCUGCGCCCUGAUUCCUCAUGAGUCGGGGAUUGCCUAUUGAAGAGCUUUUGCUGACUCUAAAAAAUAAGUCCUCUUGGUACCUUCUAUAUUUACUUAUUUUAUUGACUUUUUAUUUUGUUAUUAUGCUAAUUGUCUAUUUGUGUUCGCAGCUCCUCAAUGCCCUUAUCGAGUUACAAGAGAAAAUGAGCGGUGCGUAGGAGUUUACUCGUGCUGAAGUUGAGAGGGUUAGACAAAAGGAGGCUACUCAUGUUGCCAACUUGUUGAAAGGGGAACACGAGCUGAGGUGAGGAGAUUGAAUGAGUUACUCAAGCAGAGUUGCCUUUAGAUUGACUAAGUUGCUUAUCUAGAGAGUCUAUUGGCCAAAAAGUGAUAUGAAGUGACAUUUAGGUUGUCCCAAGUCCAAGAUGAUGUGGAUCUGAAAAUUGAGGACUUACUCUCGUGGACUACCCAUCUUAGGGGUGAGCUUGCGAAGAUAUUCGAAAAUUUGAAGCAAGCUCAUCACUAUAUGGAAAGGUCUCAAGAGAAUGCUCGCACCAGUGAGACAAUGAAGAAUUAUUAUAAGCUGGAGGUGACCGAGCUCUAUACUUGUUGUAAAGAAUAUAAGGUAGCUAUAGUGGAUAUCCAUAACAAAACUGAAAGCACUGUCAGGACCAUAUAUCGAAAAUACUUGCAGUCUCAUGAGUAUAAAAUCAAAUUUUAAUCUCUCGAAACUUUAAACCUAUCUCGUCAAUCCAUCUUGAGAGAUGAUAAGCUUAUAAUUUCACUAUUUAAUGUAAACAAUUCAAAUUAAGUAAUUAUUUUAAUUAUUUAAAUUGAUUCAAUUAUUUUUCUGAGACCUAUAAAUAUGUUGUUAUUUAAGCCAUCACCACUUCACCUGCUUCUUUCGAUGAAGCUAAUCACUUGCUUGUGUUAUAUUAGCAAAGGAUCAAAGCUCCCCAAAAUUUUAAUUUUUAAUUAGGAUUAAUUUUAAUGUUUAUAUGUUUUUAAUAAAUUCUUAUAUCAUCAAUGAGAUUUAAUUUAGUAGUUCUAGAGUUAUUUAUAUAUCUUUCUAGUUUUUAAAAAGAGAAAUUUUCUUUGGACUCUUAUUUUUUUCGAUUUUCUUUCUUUUAAUUUUUUCGAUUUAGCCAUGUUUUGAUGUUUUCUCCCCUGUCUUGAAGGCCCUUUUGUUAGAUUUUUAUUGUUGUGGCUUAUCCGGUGAUAGUUCUCUUGCAAGUUUGGAGUUUGGUUAUUUUGGUUUUGGAUUUUUUUUUAUUUUUCCUUUUUCUUGUUUAGAUUUUGUAGAUCUUGAUAUUUAUAAGACAAAGAUUUUCUCAUAUCCGUUGAUAAAGUUGAGGUUAGAAUGAGUAUAAAUUAUUUGCUCAAACGCCUCUACACGUGUUUGGUGGCAGGUUCUUCAUGGAGAUUAAUGACCAAGCAAUUAUAGGUUUGGCUUCCUUUAAAGCUAUAAGAGAAUGAGAUGCCAGUGAGUGUUCUCCUAUCGCUUGGAGUUGUGUAUUUUCCUUGUAGAGUUUGGAGUGCAUAAUUUGGCUUAGGUGGCUUGAGUUCCUCUCUGCGUGUUUCUUUCAAGUUCUAAAGGAGUCUUUAGGGGAAUUUUUUUUUUGUUAAAACAAGAGAAACUAUAUAGAAUUAAGGACCAUUAGAAAGGUUGAAACAAUCUUUGCCAAUUAGAUGAAGCAACUCAAUUGGUGGUUCCUUUAAAAGAUGAAACGGACCUUCUGAGGCAGCAGCUAACUUAAUGAGUUUGUCACAUAUUAGUUAGAUUCCCAAAUGCCAUGAAUAAACCAGAAGCUAUUACCAAGCUCAAGCAAAUCCCGCAUAGCACGAAUAAUACUGUUGUAGUUACUGUGAGAAGAGAAUAGGAAAAAUGGCGAAAAAGAUUUUAUAAAAAUGAAUUAAUUCAUGUAUUCCUCAAUGAUAAACAGAGGCAUAGUACUCUGUUUAAAUAGAUUACAAAAAUAACUAAAUAGCUAGAAGUACGGCACAAUAUAUUGUUAGACUACCAUAUGUAACAGAACGUAUAACUCGUAGAACUCUAAAUUACUGAAAAUCAGCAGAAUCAAUUACCAACCUUAUCUCUCCAGGCUCAAGUCCUGUAGUCAGCCUUAUUACUCCAAGGGGUGAACACAUCCUUAUCACUCCCUUGGUCAAUAUCCCCCCUCAAACUAUGCCGAGGUUGGAGACAUAGUUUGUGUCGAAAGAACGCAAGACGAGCCUUAGGAACUAAUUUAGUGAAUACAUCAGCUAGCUGACAAGUGGAAGGAAUAUGUUGAGUAAUAAGAGCCCCUUGAGCUACCCGCUCUCUUAUAUAGUGGUAAUCCAACGCAAUAUGUUUACUUCGAGCGUGAAAUACUGGAUUGACUCUGAGGAAUAGAGCACUGACAUUGUCUGCAAAAAGUUUCGGUGGGUGUGGAGGAAAAAUCCAAAGAUCAGAUAGAAUAUAUCCAAGCCAUGUAAGCUCAGCUGCUGUAUGAGCCAUGGCACGGUACUCAGCCUCUGUACUGGACCGAGCAACUGUGGACUGCUUCUUCGCACACCAGGAAAUGAUAUUCGAGCCUAGGAACGUGCAAUAGCCUGUAGUUGACCGUCGCGUCGUCGGACAGCCUGCCCAAUCUGCAUAAGAAAAGGCAGAAAGAGCAAGUGUAGUAUCAGAACGAAGAUUGAGACCAUAAUGUAUCGUGCCCUUUAAAUAACGCAAGAUGCGACUAACAUAUUUCAGAUGAGCAUGAGUAGGUGAAUGCAUGAAUUGGGACACAAAAUUUACACUAAAAGACAAGUCAGGUCUGGUUAAAGUGAGGUAUUGCAAGGACCCGACAAUGCCUCGAAAAGAUGUUGGAUCGGAAAGUGGUUCAGAAUCAAUUGGCGGAUUGUGUUUAAGGUCUAAUGGAGUGGGCAUUGGCUGACAAUCAACCAUCUGGGCAUGCUCCAAAAUGGAGUAGGCAUAAUGCGUCUGUGAUAAAUGAAGGCCAGUGGCUAUGGUAUCCACUUUAACACCCAAGAAAUGAUGGAUUGGUCCCAAGUCUUUCAUGGAGAAUUCUGCAUGUAACACCUGAAUAAAAUCAUCAACAAGAACUACAGACGAACCCGUGAGUAGCAUAUCGUCAACAUAAACCAAAAGUACUAAUAUCUCAUUAGAACAAUAAAAAACAAAUAAUGAAGGAUCCGCCAAACUGCAAAAGAAACCAUAAGCAAUGAGAAACUUACUUAACCGGUCAAACCAGGCACGAGGAGCCUGCUUGAGUCCAUAGAGAGCUCGUUUUAACUUACACACAUGCGUUGGCUUGUCUGGAUUUUUCAUCCCUGGUGGUUGCUCCAUGAACAAAUCCUCAGUAACAUAACCAUGCAAAAAAGUAUUUGUAACAUCUAACUGCCUUAUUGGCCAUUUUUUAACUAAAGCAACAGUUAAAACAGUACGAAUCGUGCCAGGUUUGAUAACGGGUGAAUAAGUUUCAGUGUAGUCGAUGCCAUCCAGUUGAUGGAAUCCUUUGGCUACUAACCGAGCCUUUAGUCGGUCUAACGUGCCAUCUGGUUUAAUUUUGGCUUUAAACACCCAUUUACAACCUAUUAUAUGCAACCCGUCCCUGUAAGGAACAAGGUCCCAAGUAUUAUUCCUGUGUAAAGCAUCUAUUUCAGUAACCAUGGCUUGACACCAACCAUCAUGUGCAAGUGCUGCCUUAACAGUCUUAGGCUCUCUAGGAAUAGAGUUCAACAAGGUAACAGACAACGCAUAGCACGGAUUUGGUUUAACAAUUCCUAAUUGUGACCGUGUGACCAUAGUGUGUCUAGGAGCUGAGUUAACGAUAGUCAUACCUGCUGGGACUGCAACUGCAGUACCGUCGGAGGGAGCAGCAGCAGAACAUUGUAUAUCGACAGAAGCUGGUGCAGGAGAUUGGUGGCUGCCUAGUGCUACAUUUAAAACUUCGUCAAUAUGCUCAGUCUCUGUAGCACUUGAAUGGAAGUCUGGACAGGCAGGUACAGCAGGAGCAACGAUAGCUAAAGGAACAGCCUCUGCUGCCGUAACCGGGUCUGAGACAUCUGAGUCUAGUAGCAACUGCGGUUCUGCUGCAGAUAAACCAGCAGUCGCUGCUGCCGUAACCGGUUCUGAGGCAACUGAUUCUAGCAGCAAACGUGGUUCUACAGUCGGUAAACCUGCAAUAUUUGGAGAUUCCUGCACAAAACUAGGAGAAACAUCUGAAGGAGCAUCAUUAUUAGGGGCAGAAAGAGUAUUAAAAGCACUAUCAACAUGUAACUCAUGAGUAGCGUCAGUCGUAUCACUAGAAGAAGGGAAAGGAGUAAUCUCAUUCAAAACAUUUUAAGGAGGAAGAUCAGAAGUGCCAGGUGAUUCUGCAAGACCCUGCACACAUGAAACUAUUAAAAUAGGACUAGACUCGUUGUCUGAAGUUGCCUCGUCUACACUAGAAGUGGAACUUGAAUUAACCCAAGGAUUUAUAACCUGUGACACAUAUAACGAAUCCGUAACAGAAGACUUAUAAGGAAAUAUUUGUUCAUCAAAACUUAUAUGCCUGGAAAUAAUAAAUUUCCUUGUUGUCGGAUUAUAGCACUUAUACCCCUUGUGUCUAUCACUAUAGCCAACAAACAAGCAAAGACAAGACUUUGGAUCAAAUUUGUGACGUUUAGUAUCCCAAAUAUAAGGAAAACAUUUAGACCCAAACACACGCAAGGAACUAUAGUCAAAAUCAUACCCAUUCAACAUGUAAAACGGUGUGUUAUGUUGUAAAGAAUCAGAAGGUAAGCGAUUAAGUAAAAACACAGCAGUUUGAAACGCUUCAACUCAUAAAAAUAAAGGUAAAUGACCAUGAAAUAACAUAGUCAUACCUAACUCGCGAAUGACUCGAUGACGCCGUUCUACCAUGCCUGUUUGUUCAGGCGUAUAUGGACACGAAAUUUGAUGUUUUAUACCAUUAGCAAGAAAAUGAGAUGACAAAGCAGAAUUAACAAAUUCACCCCCUCCAUCUGANNNNNNNNNNNNNNNNNNNNNNNNNNNNNNNNNNNNNNNNNNNNNNNNNNNNNNNNNNNNNNNNNNNNNNNNNNNNNNNNNNNNNNNNNNNNNNNNNNNNNNNNNNNNNNNNNNNNNNNNNNNNNNNNNNNNNNNNNNNNNNNNNNNNNNNNNNNNNNNNNNNNNNNNNNNNNNNNNNNNNNNNNNNNNNNNNNNNNNNNNNNNNNNNNNNNNNNNNNNNNNNNNNNNNNNNNNNNNNNNNNNNNNNNNNNNNNNNNNNNNNNNNNNNNNNNNNNNNNNNNNNNNNNNNNNNNNNNNNNNNNNNNNNNNNNNNNNNNNNNNNNNNNNNNNNNNNNNNNNNNNNNNNNNNNNNNNNNNNNNNNNNNNNNNNNNNNNNNNNNNNNNNNNNNNNNNNNNNNNNNNNNNNNNNNNNNNNNNNNNNNNNNNNNNNNNNNNNNNNNNNNNNNNNNNNNNNNNNNNNNNNNNNNNNNNNNNNNNNNNNNNNNNNNNNNNNNNNNNNNNNNNNNNNNNNNNNNNNNNNNNNNNNNNNNNNNNNNNNNNNNNNNNNNNNNNNNNNNNNNNNNNNNNNNNNNNNNNNNNNNNNNNNNNNNNNNNNNNNNNNNNNNNNNNNNNNNNNNNNNNNNNNNNNNNNNNNNNNNNNNNNNNNNNNNNNNNNNNNNNNNNNNNNNNNNNNNNNNNNNNNNNNNNNNNNNNNNNNNNNNNNNNNNNNNNNNNNNNNNNNNNNNNNNNNNNNNNNNNNNNNNNNNNNNNNNNNNNNNNNNNNNNNNNNNNNNNNNNNNNNNNNNNNNNNNNNNNNNNNNNNNNNNNNNNNNNNNNNNNNNNNNNNNNNNNNNNNNNNNNNNNNNNNNNNNNNNNNNNNNNNNNNNNNNNNNNNNNNNNNNNNNNNNNNNNNNNNNNNNNNNNNNNNNNNNNNNNNNNNNNNNNNNNNNNNNNNNNNNNNNNNNNNNNNNNNNNNNNNNNNNNNNNNNNNNNNNNNNNNNNNNNNNNNNNNNNNNNNNNNNNNNNNNNNNNNNNNNNNNNNNNNNNNNNNNNNNNNNNNNNNNNNNNNNNNNNNNNNNNNNNNNNNNNNNNNNNNNNNNNNNNNNNNNNNNNNNNNNNNNNNNNNNNUUUGACCCAUAGAGGCAUCAGACUGACUCAUAAACCAAGUUCUUCGUUGCUCUAAACUCUUCAACUGAGAGAUCAGUUCUGUAAAAGUCGGUCUUGGAGGCUUAAGCAUGGUAGUAGUAAAAUCUUCGAACUGAGGCCCCAGACUUGUAAGAAGGCAGAAUACCUUUUCGUUGUCUGGAACUGUUCUCCCAAUCACGGUAAGGUUAUCGCAGAUUUCUUUGAAAAGCCGCAGAUGUUCUGUUAUCGUUUUACUUUCAUCUUUGCAAAAGUAGGAUAGUUGUUGUCGUAGAUUAAACUCUCUCUUCUGGGAGUCUUGAGCAUAAGCAUCUUUCAGAGCUUCCCAAACAGUCUUUACUGUUUCCAGACCGAUAACGAGCCCUAGAGAUUCUUCGCUUAGGGUUCCAUAAAUCCACCCACGAAGUAACCGAUCUGAUUUCUACCACGCUUUGAAAUUAUCAGAAAGCUGAGGCUGAUAAUUUUCGGGAAUUGGUGAGGGAGCAGCCACAAAUUUUUGGUCUUCUGGAAAUUCUACCGUCAGAUGAUUGGACAGAUCUUGGCUCUUAGCUAGGCUUAGCAACUGAGCCUUCCAUAAGGGGUAAUUCGUUUGUUUUAGCUUUAAGGUAACAAAAUUUGUAACAUUUAAGGAAGAGGAAGCCAUUUCGUGAGAAGAGAAAAAAACUUUUGGAGAAGAAGAAGGCGGAUAUGAACCCGCUUUGAUACCAAGAAGAGAAUAGGAAAAAUGGCGAAAAAGAUUUUAUAAAAAUGAAUUAAUUCAUGUAUUCCUCAAUGAUAAACAGAGGCAUAGUACUCUGUUUAAAUAGAUUACAAAAAUAACUAAAUAGCUAGAAGUACGGCACAAUAUAUUGUUAGACUACCAUAUGUAACAGAACGUAUAACUCAUAGAACUCUAAAUUACUGAAAAUCAGCAGAAUCAAUUACCAACCUUAUCUCUCCAGGCUCAAGUCCUUUAGUCAGCCUUAUUACUCCAAGGGGUGAACACAUCCUUAUCACUCCCUUGGUCAAUACGGUGCACCUCUAAUACUGCAUUUAGCAUAUCAAUAGCUUCUAAGUUAUUACUUUCAAUAAUCACAUUCCUAAAUCCACAUUGUUUGGCAGUCCUAACCCCAUGUAGGAUAGCUUUUAGCUUAGUACUUAGAACAGCUGUUCUACCAAGCCCAGUAGUAAAGCCAGACAACAACUUGCCCGUAAAAUCUCAAAUAAUGCCUCCUCCAUAAGCAAUGUUGUUUCUUUGGGAAAUAACAUCAUCAGUGUUGAGUUUAACAAUUCCAUUAGGUGGUUCAGACCAUUUUCCAUCUCGUGAGACUUUCACUGUACUCUGACUCGAUACUGAUAACUUUUUGAGCAUAAUAAGAAUAGAGCGAGCUUCAUUCAAUAAAAGAUGAAUGAAAGUCUCUAAAUUAGGAGAGCGUUGCUAAAAAAUAAAGGCAUUCCUAUGUAUCCAAAGUUUCCAACAGUUCAACCCGAAAACGAGGGUCCAAGGAAUUCAUGUAUCUAGUUACCAUCGUCAUGCAGAUUCUGCAACCACUCCUACAAGUUCACUUUGGAUGUAAAAAAAUUCUUAUGCAUGCUGCUAGGGACUGGCUUAUUCCACACAUAGUGAGCUCUUGGACAGUCUCGUAACACAUGAAAGAUGAUUUCAUCUUCAUUAUUACAACUCUCGCAUCUAGUGCUUGCACGAGAUGUUUGCACGCUUGCUCUUCAUUUAUAAGGAUCCGCUCAUGAAACGUUAGCCAAAGGAAUGUUCUCACCCUAUGUGGUCCCUUCCAUUGCCAGAUUAACCUCCAUGCAUUGUCCUUCUCUAUGGAAAGGGUCACCGUGCACACCUUAUAGCCAUAUUUGAUCGUAUACUGUCCAGAGCUUGUAAAUUUCCAGAUCAUGCUAUCUUGAUCCAAGUUAGGAGCUGGAGGAGAUGAUUCGAGAUAGAAAGAAAAGCAAAUGCAGGCAGGAGAUCUUCCGACCAAGCCUAAUCCCACCGUCCUAAGUGAUCCACAUAAUCAAAAACUUUUUCUUUCCCCAUUCUCUCAGGAAUGUUUCUGAUUGCCAUUUGAGAUAAAUAGAUAUCCUCCGUAAGCUAAGAAUCCAACCAGAAAUUAGGUGAUUUCCCAUUCCCUAGGGCCUAUAUAGAUCCAACUUUAAGUUUAUCCCACAUUGCAAUAAUGCCUCUCCAAAGUUUAAAACAAUAGUCUUUGCGAAGAUGGCAAGAGAAAUCAGAAUUCUUAAUCUUGUAUUUGGAUUGCAUCACUUGGACCCACAAGGCUUGAUGAUUGGUUAGAAUUCCCCAAGCCAACUUCAUCAUGAAAGCAUGAUUAGUGCUCUUGGCACUUCUAAUACCCAGCCCUCCAUAUUCUUUGGAAUGUUGCACUCUAUGCCAAUUGACUAAUGGAAUCUUAUCGUUUCUUCUUGAAUUACCCCAAAUGAAACGUCUACAAAGUUUAUCAAUCUCAUUACAUAUUGAUGCAGGAAGAUAGGCAGUUUGCAUGACAUACGUAGGAAUAACUGUAAUAACUAAUUGGGCUAGAGUGAUUCUCCCAGCAAGAGCAAGUUUUUUGUUCUCCUAGCUUUCAAAUAUGAUCUUUUCAAUGAUGUACUGGUAUGUAGACCUGUAAACCCUGGAGUGAAGUGACGACACCCUCUUUAGGGGCUUUAUUGUAUAGUGAUUUCUUCGAAUUGAAGAUGUUUGGAUAUUAUGCAACAGGGAUGGUUCUUCAAAGUUUAUUAGUACCUGCGCUUUGAGCAUACUGUUAUCUGGAGUCUUUUUGACUGGGAUGGUUUUUGGAUUGGGUUGUCUUCGAUGUUUCUUAAAGGGCUCUUUGCAUUGGGUCAAAUUUUUAUAUCAUGGGAUCUUACAUGGUCCUAUUUCCUGUAUACUACCUUAUAAGGCAUUGUUUCAUGAAAUAUAACGUACAAUUAAAAAAAAAACAUUUAGAGUCGUCUAAAUAUUGUGAAAUCCCAAGUUUGAAUUUGUACAUGAAGCUCGCAUCCAAAUCCUUAUGGGAAAUUUCCUCUCAACUUUUUUCUUUAUUUUCUCUUUUCCUCUAAGAACCGGUCUCUCCUUCCUAUCGUUGACGUGCAGCCUCUUUCUGCCCCUAUAGGCAAAAAGGGGCCUUCCUCCUCUAUCCAGAUGUGGGUUUGCUCUCUCCUCUUGGGUAGAAGUUGUAAAUAUAUGUAGCUAGGUUUUGAAUCCCAGAUUUGUGCUUCUUGGUGGAGAGCUCUAUCAUCCGAAUCUAGAUUUUACCCAUGUUUUGAUACCUAAAUAUUGAGCAUAGCUAUCUUUCUUGAUAGAUUUGGGUGGACUUUUCUCUUUAGUUUUUUCCUUUCUAUUCUAUUUUCUUUGUGGUUCCUUGCAUGUAGGUUUGGAGACGAGGAUCUAGCUAUCGUCAAAGAAAAGAUAGGGCACAACAAGAUCUAAAGUAGAGCAAGAUGUCAUCUACAGUUCCGCAAUUUGGCUAGAGGUCUAGCCUUCUCUCUCUAUGAUAUCUUUCUUUGUUCCUGUCGUGCUCCAUUCCUCGAGUGCAUGAUGUGGUCCUUUCCCAAUAAGGAGGUUUACCUAAAGCUAUUGACUAACAGAUUUCAUUGUGAUGCCGCAAAUUCUUGGACCUGGUUGUAUGUAUCUUUCAAAGUCUCCUUUGCUCUCUCCUCCUUAUAUCUGUAGACUGCUUGUUUUGUUUUUAUUUCUCCCGAGCUUCAAUCUGUCUUCUAUGGUUUGUAUGGCUAUUGUUGGGAAAUCACUUUAAGCCGAAGUUUUAGGGGAGAGGUGGUGGAGACUUUGCUCGCUACCAGAUCUAGUUCUGGAUCAAAGUCGUUUUCGGAUUUAGGAUUCUAAAAUCGGGACUUCUCUUUGUACCUUAUUUUUUUUUGUUCGAAAGUUAUAUGGAUCUCUUUGUAAUUUGGCAUUGAACCUUUAUUUUAAUAGAUUUUAUCUUUAAAAAAAUUGAAUAAGAUAUUAAAUAAAUAAGUUUUUUUUUUUAUAUAUUUAGACUCUCAAAAGAAAUUCAAACAAAAAAUUAAAAUAAUUAAUAUUUGUAUAACGACAAUAAGCACAUAUUCUAAAAACUUUAGCAUAUUAAAAACCUGCAUCAACGCCGAGUACUUUUCUCCAACGAACAUAGCAAUUAAUCCCCUUAUCCAAUUUUAUUAUUUCUUUAUGUCCUUAUUCUUAUUUUUUUAAUAAUUAUGUCCUUAUUCUUAUUUUUUUAAUAAUUAUGUCCUUAUUCUUAUUUUUUUAAUAAUUAUGUCCUUAUUCAAUUCUCAGAAUUUUUGUUUUUCAUUGUCUUUUUUUUUCCUUAUAAUUAGGGUAAUGUUUGGUUUAUUUUUUAUUUUUUAUUUUUUAUUUUUUAUUUUUUAUUUUUUAUUUUUUAUUUUUUAUAUAAUUGAUGAUGGGCCACUGAUUUAUGUUAAAACUCCGUUUUCCGAUAAGUUUGCAAAUAGAAUUCAGUAUUUUGGUUUUAGUCAUAAUCCCACCUCAAUGUAAUGAAUAUUACUGAACAAAACUUAAGUGUUUGGUAGAGUAAAAUUUUAUAUAACUAUUACUAUUAAUAUAUAAAUGAUUAAUAAAAAUAUAUAUCCUAUAAUUUAUUUUACUAAUUAAAUAAAUAUUAAUUAUUAAUUUUAUAAUAUUAUAUCAAUUAUUUGUUAUUUACAUAAAUAUAUAUUUUAUUUAUUAUAUAUAUUAUUAAAAGAGAUAAAUAAAAACUAUUAUACUAUAAGAAAAUAAAACAGCAUUAUAUUAAUAAAAUAAUUAUAUUGCAUUAGUUAAAGGGGUGAGCAUUCAAUCGGUUCAAUUUAAAAUUCAAUCGAAUCGAAUAAAUUGAAAAUCGAAAUUUCAGUAUUUAUAAAAAUUAAAUCGAACUGAUUUUGAUCAGAAACCAAAUCGAACUGAAUCGAUCUGAUUCAGUUCGAUUCGGUUCGAUUUGAUCAGUUUUGAUUUUUAAUAAAUUUUUAUUUUUUACACUUUAUUUUUAAUAUUUUAAAAUUUAAUUAAAAUAUUUUAAUAUUAAUAUAAUUUAAUUUCUCUAUAUUAUUAAAAAUAACAUAUUAUUAUCAUUGAUCGAUUCGGUUUGAUUUUUUUAAUUUUUUUCUGAUUAAAAUCGAACUGAAUCGAAAUAAUCGAAAUUUUUAAAAUUAAAAAUCGAAUCGAACCAAAUUAAAUAAAAAACCAAAUAAAUCAACGUGAUAAAUAUGUGAAAUUGAUUCUAUUAUUGUAUUUUAAUAUUUUUUUAUAAUUUAUCGUUUAUAAUACUAUGAAAAUUUAGAGUUUCAAAUGUGAUUAUUAUCGAUAUUUACUUUCAUGUAAAUACAGUUAUAAUUUAAUAGCUGAAUUUUAUUUAAUAAAUUUAUUGCCCCUGAAUUAACAGUCAUAUCAAUUGUUAAAUCUGUAUUUUUUGGUAUAUUAAAAUUUUAUUGCAAGUGACGAUUAUAUUAUGUAAAUGCUAAUUUGCAGAAAGGUAAAAAGAAAAAAAAAAAGAGAGAGAGCAUAGGCCUUAAUGACUUUACUUUCGGCCAAUAACGUAAACUCUCAAUUCCUUUCGUCCCUUCGACCCAGCUGAUUGGUUUAUUGAGUCACUAGCCCAACAAACAAUAUUGGUCGACUUUUCUUAUUGCCGCUGACCCAACGAGAAGCUGCAAAAUUAUUUUUGUGAGAUGGGAUGGGACCACUUCACCAAAUUAGAUUUGUGUUUCAGGUUAUUUGUGGGUGAAUCUUUAGAUUUUAUUUUUAUUUAGACUUUUAUUAUUUUGGCCCUAAAGAUCUAGUUUAUGGUGUAAUUAGGGCCUUGGCCUUUUUCCUUCAAUGAAAUUUAUUAUAUCUUUUGAAAAAAAAAUAAAGAUCUUAAAUUCCAACUUUAAAUAUGAAAUAUCUAUAAAAAUUUAAAAAUUAAUGAUUUGACACUCUUUUUCUAAAGUCAAUAUUUGAUGGACUACUUAACUCGUAGUUGUCGAAAUCGAUCAAAAAUAACUUUUAUGGUUAUCAAUAAUUUACAACUGCAGAUAGUGGUGGAAGGAUCGAAUUCACAAAAAAUUGAGAACUCACAUAUUUCUCUUUUUGGGAUCAAGAAAAUAAACUGAAACAAUAAUAAACUAAAAAUGAGAUAAAAACUGAAAGUAGGAUCAAAUGAGAUAAACUGAAAAUUGAAAUCAAAACUGUCAACAAAAUAAUAGAGGGAUUUGAGAUUUAUUGUAGUAAACUAAUAACGAGAAAGCUCUAUUUGAAGUAUUGGAUCCACUUUAGUUGUUGGGAUUGAUCUCAGACACUUUGUUCUUUUUGAGUUGAUUUAAUAGAUUAGUUACGGAGAUAAAGACGCUUUUCACCACCAUUAUCUCUCCUUAUGAUUAAACCAAUUAAGGAACGUCCUCUAAUGAAUUACUAAUUAACAAAUUGGCAAGGAACGUUUUUGAAUCUCAUGCAUCAAAACAAUUGUCAAUUGUAUUAAGAAAUAGAGAGAUCCAACCCUAACUACUCAAACGUAUGGAGAUAACGCUAAAUCAUACAAUUUCCUUGGGUUUUAUUCUAAGUGUUCUCAUGUAAGAAUAAUCUAAGCAAUUAUGAACUUAAAUUAUUCAAACUAACAUAUUAUUAUUUUGCAAUCGAGAAUCAACGUAAAUCCAAACAAUAAAAUAAUAUUGAAAUCAAGCAUGAAAUUGCAUAAAUAUUAAAUAAUAAAAAAUUAAAUAAUAUUUGAUCAAGUCUCCCAAUCCAUAAAACAAUUAAAGUGUCAACCAAUAUUUAAUUAGAAUAAAAAAAUUCAGCGACUCAUGAUUGAAUUCAAAACAGAAAAAUAAAAGGAAAAAUAAAAGAGGAAGAAGGAACCGAAGGUAUUGAGUUCUGCCCUUUUGCGCCGGGCUAUGGAAUUGCCGAAAGAUGCCAUUGUCUGUGCACUGAAGAGUCUUUAAAUAGGUGCAGAGGAGCCCUAAAUUGGAAACACCAACGCUGUCCACGCGUGUAGAUGGCCCAUGUGCGAGAGUUGGGGCGUGGGUGAGCUGUCCGUGGGUGUUGAGCGCUUGGUGGGUCCAUGUCGCGCUUGGCCCAUGUGCGGGAGAAUGUCCUCGGUGAAGUCCCAUGUGCGUGGCUCCAUUGCGCGAGCUUGGUCCGCGUGUGUGAGUGGGCUAUCCGUGCACUCGAGUUUGGUCCGCGUGCGUGAAUGUGGUCCACGUUGCGCUGAACGGUGAAGUGGGAAUGGUCCACGUGAAGAGUUUGUGAAGUGCGGGCUAUGCGUGUGAAGAUUGGUGAAGGCUUUGACGGGCCCAUAUGCGAUCCCAUGUGCUUGUGAAUGUGGUCCACGUGAAUUGCUUGGUUCUUUGCAGGAAUGGGCUGUUAUGUGUGCGUGAUUGUGCGUGUCCAAGUGCGGGUCGUGAACUUGGUCCAUGGUGCAUCCGUGGGCUGAUCUACCUGCGGACCCAAUUAUUUCUCGGCUUUAAAUAAGGCAGUUUUAGAGGAAUUUCCUCCAAAUUGUCAUUUUACACUAUUUUCUGUAAAAUAAUAUUAAAAAUAUUAAAUCAAGCAGAAAUUAUAUAAAUAUUUAUCAAUAAUAUUAAUAUAAAAUAGACUAAAUUAUGCUUUAUCAAUACUUAAUCUCUUAAUAAAUCGAUAUAGUGUAAAUAAAACUUAAAUUUAAUAAUAACUUAAUGAAAUUAAUGAGAGAAAAAACGUAAGUCAAUAAAAAAAUUAAAAAUCAAUUGUUUCUAUAUUGGAAUCGAUAAAAUUUAAUUAUCCAGGGUAAAUUCAUUAUUGUAUCAAACCCAAAUUAAUUUUCAUUACAUUCUUCAAUUUAACAUUCAAUUAAUGCAAUUAUAUUAAUAUAGAUAGGGAAAAAAUUAUCUUAGAUUAAUAUUAAAUUAAUUUAGAGUUAAAAAAGUAUAAAGUAAUUAAUGAGUAUUGGGAUGAAUGGUUCGACACUCCUCUCUUUUCAGUAAGAUUAAAGAUUCUAUUUUCAUGAAUGGAGUAAAUACUUACCGAGAGUAUUAUACUCUUUAGUGGAUUAAUUUGAUACGAACAUAAUUUAGUUUCAGUCUAAUAAAUUUAAAAAUACAUGUUAUUAUAAAAAGGAGGAUGAAGAAGAGGUCCGAUGUCCUUUUUCUUCUGUUUUCUCCAUAGUUUAAAAUAGAAGUACACUCGAAAAAUAUUAUCAUACAACUGGUGUACAUAAAACAUUAUAUAUUAGCAAUUGAUUACAAUAAAUCUUUUUAUAAAUUUUACCAUAAUUAAUAAUUGAUAUUUAAUUAUUAUACAUCAACGGUCUUAUAAAAUAAUUUAUCUUAAUUUAUUUAGUACAUUGAGUUAGAAGUCUAGAAAUUAAAAUAAUAAAGUGUAAUACUCUAGGAAUCAUAGUGGAGAAUAUAUAUCUAUUUUAUAUUUAUAUAAUUUAAGAGUGUGAUGGCUCAAAUAUAACGAUAUUUCCUUCUAUCAUAUGGCAUUGUAUUCCUAAUCUUUUUUAAAAAGAGAAAUUUUACCGUAUAAUUGUUCUAUGUUUAGUGACUUUAUUAUAAUUAUUAGGGACUUUAUUAUAAUUAUUAAUUAUAUUAACUCUUACGAAAGUAACGACCCACAAACUAGACUGCCAUCGGCGCUAGGAUUCAGAUCGACUUAAGGUCGCCGGAAAUCGUAGCAAACCUAACAUACAUCCUAUACAUCUGAUAAAAUCCCAUAUAUGAUCAUACAUUUUCAUAAAAACUUUAAAUUUUUCAUAUAUCAAGCUUGGUCUGUGCAUGCAUCAUAACUGUAAACAUAAAAACCCCAUACUGGAGCCCUCAUCAAAUGCUCCAAUCGGGUCAACAUCUCAUACAUCAAACUUGGUUCAAAAUAACUUAUCAUUAAAACAUUUACAUAAAGAUUAUGUACAAAAGGGAUUAACCAUACAUUAGGGCCAAGCACAAUACUAAUCCUCAUUACAUAUUGAACAAUACCUUAUAUUACGUUACAUGUUCACUACUAAUCUAUUACAUAGACUAUAUCAUAACCUUGCUGACUUUCCCAUAGCUACCUGUGCUCUUGCAAACCUGGGGGUUAAGGGAGAGGGGUGAGCUACAAAAGCCCAGUGAGCAGAACAGUAAAAACAAUUUAAUAAACAGAUAAUUCACAUCACGGAUGGACUGACCCAAAAAUCCCUCUACUCUGUGCCCGGCCCUCGGUGGAGCUCCUCAGGACUUCUUUUACAUAACAUAAGCUGUGUGCCAGGGGCGUAGUGCAGGCCACACCUGGUCUUUCCUGUACUUUGUGCUCGGCCCUCGGUGGAGCUCCUCAGGACUUUUAUUACAUAAUAUAAUAUCUAGAGAGCUAAUGGAUCGUCCUAUUGUCCAUCCACAUCAACAACCAUUUAUGCAAUGCGGCAUAUUCGUGAAAUCUAAUGCAUCCAACCUAUUUCAUAUACAUGAUGCAUGAGCAUGCUUAAGACAUUUGAUUUCUUGAAAUAAAAGAUUAGUUUAGUUCUACUCACCUCUGGCUGACUCUGAACUAACUCUGAAGCAACUAUCUCACUGCUGAUCACCUCGGUUCCUCAGGUCCGAUCCUACACAGGUGGACUCGAAUGAGGGACCAAACAUACUCUAACAUGACUCUAAACAACUCCCCAAAAACCCUCUAAAACAUCAUGAAACAUGCAUGCAAAACAAGCAAAAGAAGGCUGGGCAGGGGACUUUCGGCGACAGGUUCGGCGGCCGAAGGUCCCUCCAGAUCCGAAAGUCAAGCACUUUCGGGGGCAGGUUCGGCGGCCGAAACUCCCCUCCAGAGCUAAAAGUCCAACUUUCAGGAGCGAGUUUAGGCGGCCUAAAGCUGCCUCCACAGGCAGGUUCGGCGGCUGAAUAUGGCUUCGGCGGCCGAACCUGGGUUCUCCAGAAUGGCAGAACCCGAUUCGCCUCUCUCAUCUAGCCACCCAAAACCCUCCAAACUCAUACUCAACACUCAAAAGCAUGCAUAAACACAUCAUCAAGCAUAUAAGGGCAUAAAACUAGCCUAUACCCCAACAAACAUCACAUUUAACAUCACAUUUCUCAUUAAACUAAUAUAAACCCUAACAUUUUACAUCUACUCUAUACAUGCAUCAAAACCCUUAACCCCGUUUUAAAACUUACUUAAAACAUCAUAAAAGGCGUGGAUCUACACUUACCUCUUAAAGAUCGAGAGGAGAUGUUAUCCAAAAUUGGAGAUUGGGAGAAAUCGAGCUCCGGGGGUCUCCAAACUUCAAAACCUUGAUCUUAGCUUAAAAAUCUUCAAAACAAAGUAAAACUCAUGAAAAACUUGAAGGGAUUGAAGGAAAAUACAAAAUCAACCACGGAAGGGCGAAAUCUCACCUGUGUCCGAAAAUAGAGAGAGAAAACUCGCCCAUUUUUGGACAAGGGGCCUUUUAUAGGUAGCUGGCCAGACCACCUUCGGAGGCCAAAAGAGCUUCCGCAAGCUCCCCAUGUUCGGCGGCCGAACUUAAGGUUCGGCGGCCGAACCUGGGUUUUUCCUCCAUGACUUUUUCUUUCAAAAAUCGAUUUUCCUCUUCAUUAAAACCAUAAAAAUAUAUAAAAAUAUUUUAGAAAACCUUUAUUUUACCCUUCUAGAAGGCUCCGACAUCCGAGAAUUUCAGAUUCCAACGGAGAUUCCGCCGAAAGGUAGGAACUUCGAUGCCGGGGUCUAGCCGGGUAUUACAUUCUUCCCCCCUUAAGAACAUUCGUCCCCGAAUGUUCAACAAGUAAACACAUGCAUAGUAUAAACAUAAACACAUAAACGCAUAAAAACACUAACCUUAAAAGAGAUAAGGGUAUUGCUGGAGCAUGGACUCCCGUGUCUCCCAGGUACAUUCUUCUAUGUUGUGGUGAUUCCAAAGGAUUUUCACCAUCGAGAUUUCCUUGUUCCUCAGCUUUCUGAUUUGCGUGUCUAGGAUCCGCACUGGCUGCUCAACAUAGAUGAGAUCUCCUAGGAUCUCCACAUCAGGCUCAUUAAGAACCUUGCCCGGAUCUGACACGAACUUCCGUAACAUGAAAACAUGGAAAACCGGAUGGAUUCUCUCUAUUGAAGCAGGUAAGUCCAACUUGUACGAUACAUUCCCAAUCUUCUGCAAGAUUUCAAAGGGUCCGAUGUACCGUGGACCUAGCUUGCCUUUCUUCUCAAAACGAAUCACCCCUUUCAUAGGAGACACCUUGAGCAAUACCAUAUCUCCCUCCUGAAACUCCGCAUGCUUCCUGCGGACAUCUGCAUAACUCUUCUGCCUGCUCACAGUAGUUCUGAUCCUUUCCCUGAUAAUGGGCACUACCCUGCUGGUGAUCUCUACUAGCUCAGGCCCUGCUAAGGCCCUUUCUCCCACUUCUUCCCAGCAAAUAGGUGACCUGCACUUCCUCCCAUAAAGAGCUUCAUAAGGAGCCAUCCCGAUGCUAGCAUGAUAGCUGUUAUUGUAGGCAACCUCCACCAAGAGUAGAUGCUACCUCCAAGAACCGCCAAAAUCUAGCACACACAUUCUGAGCAUAUCUUCUAUAGUCUGGAUGGUCCUCUCUGACUGUCCGUCAGUCUGUGGAUGGAAGGCCGUGCUAAAGUCUAGCCUAGUACCCAUAGCAUUCUACAGACUCCGCCAAAACCUGGAGGUGAACUGGAGUCCCCUAUCUGACACUAUUGAAAUGGGAGCCCCAUGCAACCUGAUAACUUCAUCAACAUACACCUGCACCAAUUUGUCCACAGAAUAGCCACUCCUGAUAGGGAUGAAGUGAGCAGAUUUGGUCAGUCUGUCCACAAUCACCCAUAUGGAGUCUAAUCUGUUGGACGUUGCCAGUAACCCCACCACAAAAUCCAUAGCUAUAUUCUCCCAUUUCCACUCUGGAAUCGGCAGUGGGUUAAGCAUUCCAGUCGGCUUCUGAUGUUCCAGUUUCACCCUUUGACAGACUUCACAGGCGGACACAAAUUGUGCCACUUCUCUUUUCAUAGCUGGCCACCAAUAAACUCUCUUCAGAUCUUGAUACAUCUUGGUGGCUCCAGGGUGAACGCUGUAUCUGGCAUUAUGAGCUUCUCUCAUAAUGUCUCCCUUCAGACUCACGUCAUCCGGUACACAUAACCUGUUCCCAUAGCGGAGGAUCCCUUUACUGUCAAAACGAAACUCUUCAUUCUUGCCUGACUGAACAGUCCUGGCAAUUUUCACUAACUCUGGGUCCUCAUGCUGUUUCUGAGCCACCUGCUCUAGAAACAUGGGUGUCAUUCUCAUCUCAGCUAUCAAAGCACCUGUACCAAACAACUCCAACUGCAGCCCUUCAUCAAUGAGUUUACAAAAUUUCCUCACCACCGGUCUUCUCUCUGCUGUAACAUGGGAUAGACUGCCAAGUGAUUUCCGGCUUAGGGCAUCUGCCAUAACAUUUGCCUUUCCCGGAUGGUACUGAAUCUUACAAUCAUAGUCACUAAGCAGUUCUACCCAUCUUCUCUGCCUCAGGUUCAACUCUCUCUGACUCAAGAUGUACUGCAAACUCUUAUGAUCUGUAAAGAUCUCACAUCUUACCCUAUAUAGGUAAUGCCUCCACAUCUUGAGUGCAAAUAUCACAGCUGCCAAGUCUAGAUCAUGUGUAAGAUAAUUCAACUCAUGCUUCUUCAGCUGCCUAGAAGCAUAAGCAAUUACCCUCUCAUUUUGCAUCAACACACAACCUAGUCCCACUCGGGAUGCAUCACAAAACACUAUGAAGUCUUCAUUACUGGUAGGCAGAGCUAACACCGGUGCUAACGUUAACCUUUUCUUCAGCUCUUCAAAGCUUUUCUCACACUAAUCUGACCAAACAAACCUCUGAUUCUUUUUGGUCAGCCUGGUCAUAGGAGCAGCAAUUUUGGAGAAGUUCUGGACGAACCUCUUGUAGUAACCUACCAAACCCAGAAAGCUCUUAAUCUCUGUAAUUGUAGUGGGUCUAGGCCAGUUAGCUACAGCUUCCACCUUCUUGGGGUCCACUUCAAUUCCCUUUUCUGACACAACAUGUCCCAAGAAGGAAAUGCUCCUCAACCAGAAUUCACAUUUGGAGAACUUGGCAUACAAGCCAUGCUCCUUCAGGGUCUGCAAAACUAUCCUCAGAUAAUGGGCAUGCUCCUCUGCGUUUCUGGAAUACACUAAGAUAUCGUCAAUGAAAACGAUAACAAAGUGAUCCAGAUACUGGCUAAAAACUCUGUUCAUGAGGUCCAUAAAUGCUGCAGGGGCAUUGGUCAGCCCAAACGGCAUCACUAGGAACUCAUAAUGCCCAUACUUGGUCCUGAACGUCGUCUUCGGCACAUCUUCCUCUCUGAUUCUUAGCUGGUGGUACCCAGAUCUUAGAUCUAUCUUGGAAAAACAACCUGCUCAUGCUAGCUGGUCAAAUAGAUCGUCGAUCCUGGGUAGAGGAUACUUGUUCUUGGUAGUGACUUUGUUCAACUACCUGUAGUCGAUAUAAAGCCUCAAGGAUCCAUCCUUCUUCUUUACAAACAGUACUGGAGCCCCCCAAGGUGAGGUACUCGGUCGGAUGAAACCCUUAUCCACCAACUCUUGCAGCUGAUCUUUCAACUCUUUCAACUCUGCAGGUGCCAUCCUGUAGGGAGGGAUAGAGAUCGGUCUGGUUCCAGGCGUCACUUCUAUUUCAAACUCUAUCUCCCUAGCAGGUGGUAGUCCUGGAAGCUCGUUUGGGAAGACAUCCAGAAACUCUCUGACUACGGGCACUGAGGCGGGCUCCCUGACCUGACUAUCAAGCUCUCUAACAUGAGCUAGAAACCCCUGACAACCUCUCCUGAGCAAUCUACGAGCCUGUAGGGCUGAUAUCAAACCUCCAGGCAUACCCCUCCUGUCUCCUCUGAAGACAACCUCUGACCCAUCCUGACCUCUGAACCUGACUACCUUGUCUCUACAGUCCAAGGUAGCACCAUGAGUAUAUAGCCAAUCCAUCCCUAGAAUGACAUCAAAAUUCGUCAAGUCUAGAACCACAAGGUCGGCUGCAAGGCAUCUACCCUCAACAAACACUGGGCUAUACCGACAGACUGACUCUGCCACUGAUGGAUCACACUUGGGUCUACUGACCCAGAGGGGACACUCUAACCCAGAGACUAUCAAACCCAACCUCUCUACGGCUCUAGGAGCAACAAAAGAAUGAGAUGCACCAGGGUCCAUUAAAGCAUACACAUCAGAACAUCCAAUGAUGAGAUUACCUGACACCACGGUGUUUGACGUGUUAGCCUCCUGUUGUGUCAUAGUGAAGAUCCGAGCUGGAGCUGACGGACCUUCACCCUGGGAACCUGCUGAAGAAGAGGCUGUCCCUCUCCCUCUGCCUCUACCACUGCCCUGCGUCAUGGCUGGAGCUACUGGCUGAGCUACACUAACCGAAGCUGUCUGCUGGGACGGUGUCAUAAAGGCUACUCUAGGACACUCCCGAGCUAUUGAUGGGCGUCGAAACCACCAAAAAUAAAUUCCUGCUUUAAAAUAAGAUUUGUGAUAAUGGUAAGCAGGGUCGAUCCCACAGAGACUGGUAAACAGAUUAAUUCUAUUGAAUGAGAUAAAAUAAAAUAAACAAAAUAAAAUAAAAUGGGGGUUUUGAAUAUAGAGGAAUAAAUAAAAUUAAUUUAAAAGAAGAACCAAUUUAAAUUUAAAAGAGAGAAUCAAGAUGAGACAUAUUCAGUUAAAGGAAUAAUUUUGGUUCCAGUUCUUAUGGGUUGAUCACAGAUACAAAAUAAUCUCAACUUAAUUAAUAAACCAGUUAUAGAUAUUGAAAAUGCUUCAGGUAUCCAAUCCUUUCUUAAUUUUAAACUAGUUAAGAGACGCUCGUUAACUAGCUCUAACUCUCGGACAACCGUAGGAGACGCUCCUAGAAUUUAAUCCAAUUAUUGCAUUAAGAAUUAAAAGGACCUGAUUCUAACUAACAAAUGCGAGACGCUCGGUUCAUUUAAGUUAGAUUAUACUAUUCCUUAGGAAGGCCUUACGCAACCCAAUUCACUACCUAUUUCAGUUUAGUUAAACAAUUACGGAUUUAACUAACCUGAAUAGCAGUCUACCAUUCUAUCAAUUGAGCAAUGGCGCCUUAAUGCAACAACCCACAGAACGUUAUUAAGUAAUAAACACAGGAAUAAUAUGAAUAUCAAUAAUUGAGAAAAUAUAAAAUUACAUCAAUCUCACAACCCGUCUAACUGGAACUUUAAUUAUUCUCUAACUGAAACUUUAAUUAUUCUCUAACUGAAGAGAAGGAAUUUAGCUACACAUAUUCAUGGCUAAAAAAUAAGAGAUGAAAGAUAAAACCAGAUAUCGGAUAUAUCACAAUGCCUCUUUUUUAUAGUGCUAAGAGUCCUAACCCAAAUACAAGUAUCUAAAAUCAAAAUUGAGUACAGUUUGGCAGAUAAGAGUUAUCUGUUUGGUUCCCGGAUUUGAGGCUGGCUUUGUCAAGUAUGUUUGUGCCCAUAACGCAGUCCAUAACCCAGCUCAUCUAGAGUAUCUUUUAUGAAUUUGAUUGUGAUCGCCUUUUAUCUCAGAAUGUGGAUUUCAAAUUCGAUUUUUCUUGUUAUCCUUCAAUCCUACCAAGAUAAUGAAAUUUAAACAAAUCAAUCUGUUUUAAACAAAAUGAAACUCAAUAUCUAGAUAUUUUGUAAUAUUAAAGUUGCAUAAUUGUGCAUAUUAUCAAAUCCCCCAUACUUAGAUCAGACUUGCCCUCAAGUAUGUACUCAUUAAUUCGAAAAGACUCACAAAAGCUACCCAUAAUCAAUUGCUCACAAAGUUAACUCAACUUAUUUCAAACAACCCGCAUUUCACAGCAAAAUCUCGUCAAUGUAUACAAAUCAUAAAAGAAAUACCAACACAAUUCUCAAAAGCUGAAAUGUAGCAAACUCAUUUUUAAUAUGUGAUCAUGCAAUUAAGUUCCAUCAAAUUCUUAAAUUAGUGCAUAAAGAAAUAUAUACCCAACCAACCAAGAAAGUCUUUUAAAUUUAUAAUUUUCACCAGGGACUCAGGAAUUCAUUUUUUUUUUUUAUUUAUGGUUUUGGUUCGAGAUUUUUUUCGGCUCCUAUGAGGGUAUACUCUCCCAACACUGGUUUUCUCCAUCCACAAGGGACAUCCCUUACUUAAAGGGAAUGGGCCCGACCCACCCAAACCAACCAGUGAUGGUAAACCAUAUUAUUAGUGGUAUGUUUCGAACUAUUUACGGCCCCUACGGGGUAUAAUUCUCCCAACCACUAACUUUUUCCAUCCACAAGAGACAUCCCUUGCUUAAGGGGAUCAAAUGCCGUACCAUUUGAACCAGUUAAUGUUGGUAAACCACUCAAAAAGAAAUUAAUAAUAAUAAUUUUUUCUCUUUUUUUUUCUUUUUUUUUUCUAACUUAGUUCCCUGGGAUAGUAGUAUCAAAACUCACUGCAGCAGGUUAAAGUAAAAUUUCAGAAUGCACUAUUGGGAUUUUAUCAAGCAAUAUUAAUUCACUUAAACAUAAGUUUGCACAUUUCAAACCAUAAAGAAAAUGCUAGAAUCUCUUAAUGAUCUGCAUAAAAAGAUAAGAGAAUGAUAUUUAUGCCAGCUACCUAAAAUAAUUCAAUUUAACUCUGAAAGUCAAUUUAACUCUGAAAGAUCCAACAAAAUCUUUUUUUUUUUAAGGAGAUAAACAAAUCAAAUAAAACAAAAAGAACAAUUAAAACUAAAAUAAGUGAACAAACUAAAUUAAAACUGAAACAAGUGAACAAACUCUCCCCCACACUUGGAUCACAAUGUCCUCAAUGUGAUAAAAGAACAAGACAACCAAAGCAGAUAUAUGUUCAACGUUUCCUCCACACUUGGGUCACAAUAAAUAAAGAAAUAAAUGAAAAAAAAGUUUAGAAUAUGACCUGGAAGGAUGACAAGACUCCUACUGCCGCUGUCGGUAUUGAGAUCGAAUUGUAGCCCGCACGUCGCUAAUGUUGUUUGCUAAGCGUGCUAGAUGAGUGGCAACACGCUCCAAGAUUUUUUCGAAUCGACUCUCCAUUUGAUCAAUUCUGGUGUUGAGGGCCUGAAAAGCUUGUUGGGCGUCAAAUGGAGGAUUACCCAUGGUAGAGGCAACAGGAGCCGUGCGUAAAGCACUUCCUUUUUUGAUGACGCGAUCGAAUCGCGGGAUGAUGGGACCUGGAGGACAAAUAGAAAAUACAACACCAGUUUUGCAUAGUAGACCCAUGUCAUCAAGACUCAUUAAAUCUAAAGGUACCAUGUCGCAAGCUUUGUGCAAAUUAAUAUUUUGUAAGUCAAUUAAUCCUUCUUGCAAAGCAAUGUGGGUGACUAUGUGUCCUAGAAUUAAAGGUCUGCGACGACUAACAGCAGUGCGUAUUUGUGAAGCAAUAAAACAACCCAGAUUGACCUUUAUACCCUCAGUCAUGCACCAAAGAAAAAAUAAUUCAGUUUUAGAUAGGAUCCCAGGGGAAUCCUUUCUCCCUGAGAAAGAAUAUGCAAGCAGACGAUAUAAAUAAACCAAUGUAGGUGAAUGUAAAUAUGAAUCACUAGAUUUGGCAGGAUUAAAAGAUGUUGGUGGUUAGUGUGUGAGUUGCUCAUGUAUUGCCUGUGGAUUAAAAGCAUCACAUAUAUCAGUGUAAGCAUGCAAAUAGAUUUCUGAGUGGAUUGAUUCAUGAUCAACUAACCCAAGUACCCUAUUAAAUUCAGUGAGUGAAUAUGCAAAUCGUUGUCCCAUUAAUCUAAAUUUAACAAUCCCAACUGUAUUUAAUGUGCAAUCUGUUAGUGAAUCAGCAGAGAAGGUAGAAUAAAAUUCCCAGAGAAGUUCAUAAUAUAUUGGACAAGUAAUGGCAAAAAAUUUAUCCCAACCAAUACUCCUAAUCAAUACAUCCACAUUUAAAUUUAAUAUCUGUACAAUAGAAGCAUGUACGAUUUUACCUUAUACAAUUGGGAGAGUCGAAACAAAGGCAUACCUAGCUCUUUCGUUCGUAUUUGUAAAUCAAAGAUUACCGUUCAAUCGCGAUGGAGCCGGAGGUAAGUGAUGUCUGCCCAUCCCAAGUCGUGUCCGGGUACCAGCAACAGAAGUAUUUACCACAGCAGGAUUAUCGAUGGGAGAGGUAGGAGACUGGUUUGCUGAAGAGGUGGAAGUGGAGUCAGAGAGUUGUUCACCGUUGGUGGUGGCUGAGGGUUGUGGACUAGCGCGAGGUGGUGGCUUGGCACGUGGGAUGGUUUCCGCGAUGGACGCGUGUGAGGGAUUCAAGGCAGGUUCAACGGCACGAGACGGUGGAGAAGGAGCGCGCGGAUUGCGAUCUGCGCGUGCCGUGGGUGUCGCGGCCGGCGGAGAUGGAGAAGUAAUGGAGGUAGCGGGUGUUGGCGGGUUGCGACCGGUAAAGGUACGAACUCGCCGGUUGUUAGAGGUGGCGGUGGAGCGUCGUUUGGGAGCCAUGGGUGAUUUGCGGCUGUAAGAGAGAAGAGACAAAAGGGAAAUUAGAUGUAGAAAGGGUAAAAUAAAGGGUAAAAAGGGAAAAGAACAAAUAAAUAAAUUUAACCCUAAUUCCACCUCGUGUUUCCAAAACACACCCAUAAAUAUAAGAUCACCUAUCUGUAGAAUGCUCUGUUCUGGAAAAAUAAACACUUACCGCCGGAGAAGAUGAUUGAAAAUAAAAAUAAAAAUAAAAUAAAACAAAAUAAAAUAAAAUAAAAUAAAAUAAAAUAAAAUAAAAUAAAUAAAACAAAAUAAAAUUGAAUGAAAUGAAAGAUCCAACAAAGAAAUUUUUUUGUUUUUUUUUUUAAGAAAUAGAAUUGAAUCUAGAGAAUAGAAAGAGUAGUUCUAAUUUAAAGUCUUAGCUAGACUUCACUUCCCUGCAAGUUAGUUAAGGAAAUGGAGGAAAAUCACUGAGAUUAACCUCCUCAACCUGUUGUGGCUCGAAAUUCUCAUAAAAAUGCUUCAAACGAUGGCCAUUGACCUUGAAUGACUUGGUGGUGUCCAUACUUCUUAUUUCUAUAGCAUCGUGAGAAAAAAAUAUUAGUGACAAUAAAAGGACCAAUCCAUCUAGUUCGUAAUUUACCAGGAAAUAACUUCAGUCUAGAAUCAUAUAGCAAAAUUUUUUGACCAACUAAAAAUUGUUUCCUAGAAAUUAAUUGAUCAUGCAAUGCCUUGGUUCUUGCUUUGUAUAUUCUGGAAUUAUCAUAAGCAUCAUUUCGAAUUUCUUCCAGCUCUUGUAGUUGCAACUUACGAUGCGCACCAGCUUUUUCCAUACUCAUAUUGCAAUGCUUCACCGCCUAAAAAGCCCUAUGUUCAAUCUCUAGGGGUAAGUGACAAGGCUUGCCAUAAAUGAGGCGGUAAGAAGACAUGCCAAUGGGUGUUUUAAAAGCUGUGCGAUAUGCCCAUAAGGCGUCUUCCAACCUGAGACUCCAAUCUUUGCGAUUAGGACUGACAGUUUUUUCAAGAAUGGACUUAAUUUCUCUGUUGGACACCUCUGCUUGCCCGUUUGUUUGUGGAUGAUAGGCGGUGGAAGUUCGAUGAUGGACACCAUACUUCUUAAAAAGUGCUGCAACUAUCUUAUUGCAGAAAUGAGUUCCACGAUCAUUGAUUAUGGCCUUUGGGACUCCAUACCUAUUAAAGAUAUAUGACUUGACAAAACUCACAACAACUUUAGCAUCGUUAGUACGGGUAGCUUUUGCUUCCACCCAUUUAGAAACAUAAUCAACAGCUAACAGUAUGUAUGUAUGACCAAAAGAAGAUGGGAAUGACCCCAUGAAAUCUAUACCCCAAACAUCGAAUAUUUCACAAAUAAGGAUGGGUUGUUGGGGCAUCUGGUCACGACGACUUAAAUUUCCAGUUUUUUGACAAUUAGCACAAGACUUACAGAAUAUGUAGGAAUCAUGAUAUAUAUGAGGCCAAUAAAACCUGCUAUCAAGGAUCUUACGCGCUGUUCUCUUUGGACCAAAGUGGCCUCCACAUGCAUGGGCAUGACAGAAGCUCAUAAUGGAGCUGAUUUCAUUACCCGUGACACAUCUCCUAAUAAUCUAGUCUGAGCAUAUGCGCCAUAAAUAAGGUUCAUCCCAAGUAUAAUACUUGGAAUCAUGUUUGAUCUUUUCUCGUUCAGCUCUGGUUAAGUCAUCGGGUAAGGAUUUAGAGACCAAAUAAUUAACUAUAUCUGCGUACCAUGGAAAUUGCUCUGAUGCAGAGAAUAGGUAUUCAUCCGGGAAGUCAUCAUUAAGUGGUACAAUGUCUUCAACCAACAAUGGCAGUCGGCUAAGAUGAUCAGCAACUAAGUUCUCAGACCCCUUCUUGUCCCGGAUCUCAACAUCGAACUCUUGAAGCAAAAGAAUCCAUCGAAUCAAUUUGGGCUUCGCAUCUUUCUUCUUAAAAAGGUAUUUUAGAGCUGCAUGGUCAGAGUAAAAAAUUACUUUAGUACCAAGUAGAUAUGAACAAAAUUUUUCUAAAGCAAAAACUAUAGCUAACAGUUCUUUCUCUGUGGUUGAGUAAUUGCAUUGGGCAUUAUCAAGUGUUCUGGAUGCAUAGUAAAUAACAUGAGGAUCUUUUCCCUUCCUUUGGCCUAAGACCGCGCCCACAGCCUGGUUACUUGCAUCGCACAUAAUUUCAAAAGGUUGACUCCAAUCAGGGGGCUGUAUUAUGGGCACAGUGAUUAAUACCUCUUUGAGUGCAUCAAAAGCUUCCUUGCAAGAAUUAUCAAAAGUAAACUCAACAUCUUAUUGCAAUAACCUGCAAAGUGGCUGAGCUAUUUUUGAGAAAUUCUUAAUAAAUCGUCGAUAAAAACCUGCAUGUCCAAGGAAAGAACGAAUUUCACGCACAUUAACAGGAUAGGGUAGUGAUUUAAUAAUAUCUAUCUUACUUUUGUCAACCUCAAUUCCCCUUUUUGACAUAAUGUGCCCCAAUAUUAGCCCUUGAUCUACCAUAAAAUGACAUUUCUCAUAGUUUAACACCAAAUCAGACUCUAGACAUCUUUUAAGGACUUUUUCAAGGUUAGCUAAGCAUGUAUCAAAGGAGUUACCAUAUACGGUGAAAUCGUCCAUGAAAACUUCUAUGAUGUCUUCUACAAAAUCUGAAAAUAUACUAACCAUACAUCGCUGAAACGUGGUUGGUGCAUUGCAAAGCCCAAAUGGCAUUCGUCGAUAGGCAAAGGUGCCAAAUGGACAGGUGAAAGUAGUCUUCUCUUGGUCUUCGGGUGCCACAGAAAUCUGAUGAAAGCCUGAAUAUCCAUCAAGACAACAAUAAUGAGAUUUUCCAGCUAGACGCUUAAGCAUCUGAUCAAUAAAAGGAAGUGAAAAAUGAUCUUUUCUGGUGGACGUAUUUAAUUUACAAUAAUCUAUACAAACCCUCCACCCGUUUUGGACGCGGGUGGGUAUUGAUUCUCCAUCUUCAUUUUUCACUACAGUAAUUCCUGUUUUCUUAGGGACAACCUGGACUGGGCUCACCCACUUGCUAUCGGAAAUGGGGUAGAUCACACCUGCAUCAAGUAAUUUCAGGAUUUCCUUUUUUACCACUUCCAUCAUAGGAGGAUUCAGACGACGUUGAGAUUCCCUGGUGGGCUUGCUAUCGUCUUCCAGUAAAAUUUUGUGCAUGCAAAUGGAAGGACUAAUCCCUUUUAUGUUAGCUAUAGUCCAGCCGAUUGCACCUUUAUUUUCUUUUAGAACUCGAAUCAGCUCCUUUUCUUCAUAUGGUGUCAGCGUGUUGGAGAUAAUUACGGGUAGAGAACUUCCUGCCCCAAGGUAUGCAUACUUCAGGUGAGUAGGCAACGGUUUCAGCUCUAACUGUGGGGCCUGCACAACAGAUGGUAAAAGUUUAGAAUGAGUAGUAGGUAAUUCCAAAGAAGAGACAUUACAUUUAAUUUUAUUAGCUUCAAGUUCAUGGACCACAUCUUCCAACCUUCCUUGUAAGACAAAAUCAAUACUCAUAACUGCCAAUUUAUCUUUACUCAGGUUUUCACACAUAACAGUUCAUAGUUCAUCCUCACCUUGCAACUCAAAUACUUGCUGGACUAAAGGUUCAAUGAUAUCCACACCACACACAUUAGAAAGGUCAUUUGGGUACUUCAUGCUGUCAUACACAUUAAAUUUUAUAAUUUCCCCAUCAAACUUCAUGGUAAGUGUGCCAUCAAAAACAUAUAUUUUUGUUCUAGCAGUUGUUAAGAAAGGUCUACCUAACAAAAGAUCAGAUGUAUUAGAGGCCCUAUCAUCAUCCAUAUGGACUAUGUAAAAAUCAGCAGGGAAUACUAAAUUACCAACUUGUACUAACACAUCCUCUAAAACUCCCUCGGGGUAUAUAACAGAUCUAUCAGCCAAUUGUAUCACUACUCCAGUUUCUUUCAAAGGGCCAACAUUGUAACGACCCGGAAAUCGGACCGCUACUGGUGCUAGGAUCCAGAUCGACUUAAGGUCGCCAGGACCCGUAGCAAGCCUAACAUACAUUCUGUACAACUGGUAUAAUCCCAUACAUGAUCAAACAUACACAUAAAAAUUUUAACUUUUCUCUUACCAAGCUUGACAUGAGCAUGCACUAUACCUGUAAUCAUAAAAACCCCCUUACUGGAGCCCUCAUCAAAUGCUUCAGUUGGGUCAACAUAACAUAUAUCAAGCUUGGUUCAGCAUUUCUCAAUAUAAAAACAUUUCAUAAAGAUCAUGAGACAAUGGGAUUAACCAAACACUCGGGCCAAGCACAACUCUAUCCAUUACAUUUCAUUAUAACAUUUUACAUUUUAUUACACAUCUUUACAUUACAUCAUAUCCACUUCUAUUCUAUUACAACACAUAACCAUAGCCAUAACCUGCUGACCUCCUGAACUAUCUCUGUCCCUGCAAACCUGGGGGUUAAGGGAAAGGGGUGAGCUAUAAAGCCCAGUAAGCAGAAACUAUAUAAAAAUAAACAGUUCAUUAAAACAUAUGCUAUCAUGGAAUGCAUCACAUCACAAACAAAUCAUAUCAAGGAUGAAUUUGUCACCAAUAGCCCUCUACAUAGAAAUCUCAUAUCAUAACAAGUUCAGCAAUACUCUGUGCCAGGGGCGAUACGGCCACACCUGGUCUUUCCAUCUCAUAUCAUAUCAUACAUGUCAUAUUAUAUCAUUUCAUAUCAUGUCAUAUCAUGUCAUACUGAGGGCUAGAGGAUCAUCCAAUAUCCAUCCACAUCAUCAUCAUCGUAUUAUGCAAUGCAUCAUAUUCGUGAAUUCUAAUGCAAACACCCUAUUACAUAACAUGAUAUUCGUGAUGCAUGAACAUGCUUAAACCAUUUGAUUCAUUUGUUGAACAUAAAGUUCAGUUCUACUCACCUCUGACUAGCUUUGGACUAACUCUGAAGCAGCUAACUCACUGCUGAACACCUCGGUUCCUCGGGUCCGAUCCUACACAGGUGGACUCAAAUGAGGGACCAAACAUACUCUAAUAGGAUUCUAAACAUCUCCCCAAAAACCCCCUAACACAUCAUAAAACAAUCAUAGAAAUCAUGCAAAAGAAGGCUGAACAGGGCACUUUCGGCGGCAGGUUCGGCGGCCGAAAGUCCCUCCAGAGCCGAAACUCAGCCACUUUCGGCGGCACCUUCGGCGGCCGAAAGUGGUUCUAGAGCCGAAACUCGUGCAUGUUCGGCGGCACCUUCGGUGGCCGAAACUCCCCUCCAGAGCCGAAAGUCUAACUUUCGGGGGCAGGAUUCCAUAGCCAAAACAAGCCACCACAGGCAGGUUCGGCGGCCGAACCUGAGUUCUUCCCGAAGGGUAGAACUCAGCCUCCUCAUGCACAAAUAGCCUCCAAACCUUCCAAAACAACCCAAAACCUCACAUGCUCUCUCCCAAACAUGCAUACACACUCCCUCAUGCAUAUAGGGCAUAAACUAGCUUAAACCACCCAACAAAACAUCAUAUAAACAUACAUUGAGCAUAAAACCCACAUAAACCUAAACAUGCACAUCUACCCUCACACAAGCAUCAAAACUUCUUAAAACUUGCUUAAAACAAAGAAAAGGGUGUGGAUCUACACCUACCUCUUGAAGAUCGAGGGUUGGUGCGAUCCCUAACUUGGAGAUAGGAGGAAACAACUCCUUGGGUCUCCAAGCUCUCAAAACUUGAUCUUAAGCUCACAACUUCAAAACCCAAGCUAAAACUUGUUAAAACUUGAAAGAUUUGAAGAAAGAACAUGAAAUCGACCAAAGGAGGACAUGAACUCACCUUAGCUCGAGAAUAGGGAGAAAACUCACCUAUUUUCGGUACGAGGGGCCUUUUAUAGGUGGCCGGUCAACCACCUUCGGCGGCCUAAGCUGUUUCCACAACUUCACCACCUUCGGCAGCCUAACGUGCCCCCUAAACUAUCCCAUGUUCGGCGGCCGAACUUGAAGUUCGGCAGCUGAACCUGGUUUCUUCCCUCAAAACCUUCGGAGGCCUAAAGCACUCCCGAAACAGCUCCAUGUUCGGCGGCCGAACUUGAGGUUCGGCAGCCGAACCUGUGUCCUUCCUCCUUGGCCUAUUCUUUACAAAACUCAUUUCUUUUUCAUUUAAAACCAUAAAAUCAUGUGAAAACAUUUUAGAAACACACUUUACCCUUCUAGAAAACUCUGGCAUCUUCAGAAUUCCAGAUUCCAACGGAGAUUCCGCCGGAAUGUAGGGAUUCCGAUGCCGGAAUCUAGCCGGGUAUUACAAACAUUUAAAGAUUGAUAAAUGGACAAUGGCAUUACAUUUAUAGAUGCACUCAAGUCACACAUUGCUUUUUUAACCCCAACCUUGCCAAUUUUAAUAGGUAUAGCAAACAUACCUUGGUCCUUACAUUUGGUAGGCAUUUUAUUUUGAAAAACAGCAGAUACCAUUUCAUCCAUACAAACCUUUUGGUAACCCACCAGCUUUCUCUUAUUUGUGCAUAAUUCCUUCAAGAACUUCGCAUAGCGAGGUACCUGUUUAAUCGCAUCAAGUAAAGGUAUAUUAACUUCUACCUUACGAAAUGUCUCAAGGAUCUCCUUUUCUUCUUUCUCUCGUUUAGACCUGGCUAAUCUCUGAGGAAAAGGAGGUUUAACGAUUAGAGGUUCAGAUUGCACGGGUGCUGGAGCUGACUCGUCUUGCUCAAGUACGAUCAUCUCAGCUUCCAGGCCACUGCGGUCGUGCCCACGACUUACCUGUCGAGGAUUGUCCUGCAAUUCUUUUCCGUUUCUGAGUGUAAUGGCACUUGCAUUCUGCUUGGGGUUUACUAUGGUCUGGGAAGGCAAUUUACCUUGAUUUUCCAAUUUGUUCACAGAUACUACCAAUUGACUGAUUUGUGUUUCCAGAUUGCGAAUACUCGUCUGAGUGUCCUGUUGAAAUUGUUGAGUGUUAAUGGCCAAACUUUUAACAAUAUCUUCCAAGGACAUACCUGAAUUAGAUGAAGAUGCUUGCUGCUGAAACUGUUUAGGCUGAUAACUUUGAGAAUUUUAUUGUUUAUAGCUAAAGUUCGGGUGAUUUCGCCAUCCUGGGUUGUACGUAUUUGAGAAAGGAUCGUACUUUCUUUGUGGAGGACCUGGAAACCCGUUGACAGCAUCCAUAUGCUGGUCGUCCUCUUGAAGUGAUGGGCACAUAUCAGUGGGAUGACUCGUAUUAGCGCAAAUUCCACAAGUUUUGGCUUGUUGUACCUUCUCUGCAACAAGAUUUUCAACUAAAGUGGUUAGAUGAGAAAGUUUAGACUCAACAGAAUAAUUGCUUACCUCAAAAACUCUCCUAUGAGAGUCUUGUACAGGUACAAAUUGUUGUGAAUUUGCAGCCAUCGUAGAUAUCAAUUCCCUAGCUUCUCGGGGUGUUCUUUUGCGUAUCGCACCGCCACUUGCAGCAUCUAUCAUACGUCUUUCCAUGGUUGUGAGUCCCUCAUAAAAGUGAAGCAUAAGUUGUUUAUCUGAGAUUUCAUGCCUAGGACUGCUAGCACAUAGACGUUUAAAUCUCUCCCAAUAGUCAUGGAGAGUUUCUGUUUCCUUUUGCUUAAUUCCUGAUAUUUCUCUUCUUAUUGCAGAUGCUCUAGAAGCAGGAAAGAAUUGAUCUAAAAAUAAUUUUACCAUUUCUCCCCAUGUGGUGACUGAACCCGGAGGUAGGUAGUACAACCAGUCUUUUGCAUUGUCAGCUAGAGAAAAAGGAAAUGCCCUUAGCUUGAUUUGUUCUUCUGUAACUCCUUGUGGUCUCAUGCUGGAGCAUACCACAUGGAACUCUUUCAAGUGUCUAUGAGGAUCUUCCCUUUCAAUUCCUCUAAAGAUGGGGAGGAGAUGAAUUAAUCCUGAUUUUAGCUCAAGUGGUGCAUUUAGUGCAGGAUAGACGAAGCAAAGGGGUUGAGGGUCAUCCACAUUGUCAACGUCCUGUAUUGCUUGUUCUUCAGCCAUUUGCUCUUCCACGUCAGAUUCACCAGAGGUAUCGUCCGGGUUAGAUGCUGUUUCCUUCGUGCCCACGACCUGUUCGUCGACAACAACCUGUUCUUCAAUCGCGAUCUCCUCUUCAACUGCAGCAACCUGUGCUUCAAUAGGGAGUUGUCCCUCAAUGCUGGAUGAUGAGAGGUAUUUGUUUCGCUAUUUAGCCUCUUUUCUCAGUUUCCUUGCGAUUUUCUCAAUUUCUGGGUUGAAUUCGAGGCUACCUGCAAGAUUAGAACGUGUCAUUCAAAAAGAAUUAAUAAAACAAUUUAGAACCAGUCCCCGGCAACGGCACCAAAAUUUGAUGGGCGUCGAAACCACCAAAAAUAAAUUCCUACUUUAAAAUAAGAUUUGUGAUAAUGGUAAGCAGGGUCGAUCCCACAGAGACUGGUAAAUAGAUUAAUUCUAUUGAAUGAGAUAAAAUAAAAUAAACAAAAUAAAAUAAAAAUGGGGGUUUUGAAUAUAGAGGAAUAAAUAAAAUUAAUUUAAAAGAAGAACCAAUUUAAAUUUAAAAGAGAGAAUCAAGAUGAGACACAUUCAGUUAAAGGAAUAAUUUUGGUUCCAGCUCUUAUGGGUUGAUCACAGAUACAAAAUAAUCUCAACUUAAUUAAUAAACCAAUUAUAGAUAUCUAAGACGCUUCAGGUAUCCAAUCCUUUCUUAAUUUUAAACUAGUUAAGAGACGCUCGUUAACUAGUUCUAACUCUUGGACAACCGUAGGAGAUGCUCCUAGAAUUUAAUCCAAUUAUUGCAUUAAGAAUUAAAAGGACCUGAUUCUAACUAACAAACGCGAGACGCUCGGUUCAUUUAAGUUAGAUUAUACUAUUCCUUAGGAAGGCCUUACGCAACCUAAUUCACUACCUAUUUCAGUUUAGUUAAACAAUUACGGAUUUAACUAACCUGAAUAGCAGUCUACCAUUCUAUCAAUUGAGCAAUGGCGCCUUAAUACAACAACCCACAGAAUGGUAUUAAGCAAUAAACACAGGAAUAAUAUGAAUAUCAAUAAUUGAGAAAACUAUAAAAUUACAUCAAUCUCAUAACCCGUCUAACUGGAACUUUAAUUAUUCUCUAACUAAAAAGAAGGAAUUUAGCUACACAUGUUCAUGGCUAAAAAAUAAGAGAUGAAAGAUAAAACCAGAUAUCGGAUACAUCACAAUGCCUCUUUUUUAUCGUGCUAAGAGUCUUAACCCAAAUACAAGUAUCUAAAAUCAAAAUUGAGUACAGUUUGGCAGAUAAGAGUUAUCUGUUUGGUUCCUGAAUUUGAGGCUGGCUUCGUCAAGUAUGUUUGUGCCCAUAACGCAGUCCAUAACCCAGUUCAUCUAGAGUAUCUUUUAUGAAUUUGAUUGUGACCGCCUUUUAUCUCAGAAUGUGGAUUCCAAAUUCGAUUUUUCUUGUUAUCCUUCAAUCCUACCAAGAUAAUGAAAUUUAAACAAAUUAAUCUGUUUUAAACAAAAUCAAACUCAAUAUCUAGAUAUUUUGUAAUAUUAAAGUUGCAUAAUUGUGCAUAUUAUCAGCUAUGUGUCCCUCCUGUCCACAUCUGUAACAUGCUGAUGUCCCAAACCAACAGACUCCCUUGUGCGGUUUACCGCACCUCAAGCAUUUGGAGCCAUCUGAACCUGAGCUCGAGCCACCACCUAAUCCCAGACCCAACUUCAACCGGUUCCAGAACUUAUUCUUCUUCGGCUUUUUAGAGCCUCUGUCCCACUUUUUGCUACCCGAAGCUGCUGUACUCAAAGAAGAGAGGUCGAACUUCCCUGAACCUAGGGUCUUGGAACCCGAGGGCUGUGCCACUUGCUGUUUCACUGUUCCUUGGAUGAUGGCACUAGCCUCCAUCUUUCUCGCUGCAUCCACAAUAGAGUGGAAGCUCUCCCUCUCUGCUGGUAGGAUUAGGGAGGAAUACCUAGGGUGGAGCCUCAUGGUAUACCUCCUAGCUUUCUUCUGAUCUGUGUCAUAUGCCAGACCCACAUACUGCAGCAACUCCAGAAACUUAUCUGUGUACUAAUCGACACUCAUAUCAUCUGUCUGCCUUAGCUGCUCAAACUCAACAACUUUCAGCUCUCUGGAACUGUCUGGAAACGCCCAUCCAGCAAACUCAUUUGCAAACUCCUCCCAGAAUAGGCUGUCCAACCUUGGGUCCACAUAAUUUUUAAACCAUUUUCAUGCUUUCUUGCAUUUCAAUGUGAACCCCGCCAUCUAAAUGGCUCUGCUGUUACUGGCUCCUAGCUCAUCCGUGAUCAUCUUUACCGUCUUGAGGUACUCAAACGGAUUAUCCCCUGUCUUGAACUUGGGAGCAUCUAGCUUCAGGUAAUCUGUCAUCUUUACUUUGCUCCCCACAGAUGAGCUAGGUUUGGGUGUUUGGAUAUCAGGGACCAUAGGUUCUGCUGGUGGUGGAGGAGGUGUAGCAUUCCCUGGGUUAGGAUUUGGGUAGAAGGGUGAGGGUGGAUACAUAGGGUACUGUGGGUAUGGUGGGUAAAAGGAGGAUAGGGCAUAAAGGAGGGAUAUGGGUUAAAGCUGGAGUAAUCCGAUGUACCCCCCAUCGAAUACCCUGGGUCCUGUGGAAAGGGUUGGUACUGGGGUGGUUGAACAAAAUCCGAGGCCUGAGCGCCUCCGUGGGACUCUCCCAUAUCCUCUUCUGACAUACUUAUGCCCAGACUACCAUCUCUUCUCUGUUCAUCCUCCUCUGAUCCCCUCACAUCAGCUGACAUUCUACCCGGAUCUGUUCUCCUCCUGUUUACAUCAAAAGACCUUCUAGGGUCCCUUGAUGUCCCUUCUCUGCUGGACCUACUAGACGUUGCCCUUGGCAAAGCAGGGGGAAGGGCAUCCAUGCCCUCAUUCUCAGGUGGAACUCCAGUCAAUCAUGCAGAUCGACGAGUGCCUCUCAUUCUGCUUCUGAAAAACGACAUAAAACACAUAAACAUUAACAUCAUAUGGUUCAUGUGGAAACACAUGAACCCACAUCAUACAUAGCAUAUCUUUAAUACACAUGCAUAUAGUCAUGGCAUUACACAUCAUCAUCAAGACAGGACUCUACAUCCUAUCCUAGUGGACAUGAUUUUUCCUAUUGUGCUUGCCCUUCUAUGACAUCUAUGAGCCCGACACACUCUAGGUCCGACCAUAUGAACCUAGGGCUCUGAUACUGAUAGAGCAUAUUUUAGUCCUUUUUAUCUUGAUAUUAUUGAUGAUUAUUUACAUGAUUUCUGCUUAAUUUAGUGCUCUUGACAUUGUUUUGCAGAAAUCGGUGUAAAAGGACAUUUUGGAGAAAAUCUCCCUAAAACUGCCUUAUUUGGAGCAAAAGGGAGCAAGCCUGCCAAGUUGAAAUCAAGUCAAGCUAAAUAAGGAAAGUGGUAAAUAUGGAAAGAACAUUCAGCCAAGGCAACUUGAAAUUCAAAUUUCAAAUCUCCAAGUAGCCUUUUCCUUAUUCAAGAAGCCAUAUCUCAAGCUGCCAUAUAUGGAGAGCCAAAUGAGGAAAGUAUUUUGAAAUUCAAAUCUCCAAGAUUCAUAUUCAGAUUUUGGAUUUCAAGAUCCAGCUUAUUAAGGAAGCCAAAUCCAAAGAUCACUUGUUUCCCACUUCAUGCCUUGCACAUUCAAAAUUCAAAGUGCAAAAGGAGGCUCCACCUUCCUUAAUUGUGAUUGGGCGGCAAGGGAAUGUGAAGAGGCACCUUGGGCAGCAACUUGAGCACACUUGGGCAGCAUCUUGAAGACCUUGGGAAGCAAGUAAAAGACCAAAGAGCCCACCCCUUGCAAUUUGAUACAUGCUCCACGUUUUUCCCUUCACACAUGUACAUAGAAGGCACAUAUUGGACCAAGGACAUUUUGGACAGCCUCUAAAAGAUUCAUGGAUUGCCAAGAAACCCUAGGCAGCCUCUCAAGACAUAUUUAAAGGCCUUAAGAAGACAAGAAGUGUCAGAAUUGAUCACCCCCACUCCUCCAAGAUUCGGCUGCCGCUCCACCUCCUUCUCCUCCACCGCCGGUUCUUCAUCUCAUGCUCUUUUCUUCUAUUUUCUAUUUUGGUUCAGCCAUGAGUGGCUGAAACCCUUAAUUCUAGUUGAAGAUUAGUUGAAACUAAGGUUGUUUUAUGGAUUGUGAGAUCUGAACAUAAACUAUUUGUCUUUGAUUAGUUCAAUAUUCAUACAAUUGUGUGCUUGAAUCUAAGGUUGCUUUGUUGUUUUGAUCAAAUUGGCCACUUGAUUCUUGCUUGCAAAGUUAAUUGAUUGUUAGUUGGGAUAUUUUUUAGUCCGUAAUUGCUGGAAAUAUUUUGACCUAAGAACACUUGGUGUAAAAACUAAGGAAUUGUGUGAUCUAGCAUCAUCUUCAUGCGUUUGGAGUAGCUAGGAUUGGAUCUUUCUCUUUCUUCAUACAAUUGACAAUUGUUUUGAUGCCUAUGGCCCAAGGACAUUCCUUGGCAAUUUGUUAAUUAGUAAUUGAUUAGAGGACGUUCCCUAAUUGAUUUAAUCAUAAGGAGAGACAUGGUGGUGAGAAGCGUUUUCCAUCCCCAUAACUAAUCUAUUGAAUCAAUCAAGAGAACAUAAGUUUCAAUGAUCAAUCCAAGCAACCAAGGUGGAUCCAUAUCUUCAACUAGACCUUUCUCAUAUUGAUUUCCUCUUUUAUUUUAAUUACUUGCUGAUUUAAUUGAUUUCAAUAGUUGUUAGUCAAAUCAAUCUCAAAACCCCCCCUUUUUACUUUAUUGCACUUUACUUUUAUUCUGCUUUCAGUUACUUGCUUUCAGUUGUGCUUUCAGUUGAUUCUCUUGAUCUUGUUGGGAAAAAUAGAUAAGUAUUCAAUUCUCUGUGGAUUCGAUCCUUUACUAUUAUCUGUAGUUGUAAAAUUGCUGAUAACCGGAAAGGUUAUUUUUGACCGGCUUCGACAACCGCAAGUCAGAUACCACUCUGUAACGAACCGGACCGCUACCGGCGCUAGGAUUCAGAUCGACUUAAGGUCGCCGGAACCCGUAGCAAGCCUAACAUACAUCCUGUACAUUUGAUAAAAUCCCAUACAUGAUCAUACAUUUUCAUAAAAACUUUAAACUUUUCAUAUACUAAGCUUGACCUGUGCAUGCAUCAUAACUGUAAACAUAAAAAUCCCAUACUGGAGCCCUCAUCAAAUGCUCCAAUUGGGUCAAUAUCUUAUACAUCAAGCUUGGUUCAACAUAACUUAUCAUUAAAACAUUUAUAUAAAGAUCAUGUACAAAAGGGAUUAACCAUACAUUAGGACCAAGCACAAUACUAAUCCUCAUUACAUACUAAACAAUACCUUAUAUUACGUUACAUGUCCACUACUAAUUUAUUACAUAGACUAUACCAUAACCUUGCUGACUUUUCCAUAGCUACCUGUGCUCCUGUAAGCCUGGGGGUUAAGGGAGAGGGGUGAGCUACAAAAGCCCAGUGAGCAGAACAGUAAAAACAAUUUAAUAAACAUAUGCUUUCAUGGAAUGCAUCACAACACAGACAAUUCACAUCACGGAUGAACUGACCCAAAAAUCCCUCUACUCUGUGCCCGGCCCUCGGUGGAGCUCCUCAGGACUUCUAUUACAUAACAUAAGCUGUGUGCCAGGGGUGUAGUGCAGGCCACACCUGGUCUUUCCUGUACUCUGUGCUCGGCCCUCGGUGGAGCUCCUCAGGACUUCUAUUACAUAAUAUAACAUCUAGAGGGCUAAUGGGUCGUCCUGUUGUCCAUCCACAUCAACAACCAUUUAUGCAAUGCAACAUAUUCGUGAAAUCUAAUACAUCCAACCUAUUUCAUAUACAUGAUGCAUGAGCAUGCUUAAGACAUUUGAUUUCUUGAAAUAAAAGAUUAGUUUAGUUCUACUCACCUCUGGCUGACUCUGAACUAACUCUGAACCAGCUAUCUCACUGUUGAUCACCUCGGUUCCUCAGGUCCGAUCCUACACAGGUGGACUUGAAUGAGGGACCAAACAUACUCUAACAUGACUCUAAACAACUCCCCAAAAACCCCCUAAAACAUCAUAAAACAUGCAUGCAAAACAAGCAAAGGAAGGCUGGGCAGGAGACUUUCGGCGGCAGGUUCAGCAGCCGAAGGUCCCUCCAGAUCCGAAAGUCAGGCACUUUCGGGGGCAGGUUCGGCGGCCGAAACUCCCCUCCAGAGCCGAAAGUCCAACUUUUGGGGGGCUAGUUUAGGCGGCCUAAAGCUGCCUCCACAGGCAGCUCGGCGGCCGAACCUGGGUUCUCUAGAAUGGCAGAACCCAAUUCCCCUCUCUCAUCUGGCCUCCCAAAACCCUCCAAACUCAUACUCAACACUCAAAAACAUGCAUAAACACAUCAUCAAGCAUAUAAGGGCAUAAAACUAGCCUAUACCCCAACAAACAUUACAUUUAACAUCACAUUUCUCAUUAAACUAACAUAAACCCUAACAUUUUACAUCUACUCUAUACAUGCAUCAAAACCCUUAACCCCUUCUUAAAACUUACUUAAAACAUCAUAAAAGGCGUGGAUCUACACUUACCUCUUGAAGAUCGAGAGGAGAUGUGAUCCAAACUUGGAGAUUGGGAGAAAUCGAGCUCCGAGGGUCUCCAAGCUUCAAAACCUUGAUCUUAGCUUAAAAAUCUUCAAAACAAAGUAAAACUCAUCAAAAACUUGAAGGGAUUGAAGGAAAAUACAAAAUCAACCACGGAAGGGCGAAAUCUCACCUAUGCCCGAAAAUAGAAAGAGAAAACUCGCCCAUUUUCGGACAAGGGGCCUUUUAUAGGUGGCUGGGCAGACCACCUUUGGGGGCCAAAAGAGAUUCCGCAAGCUCCCCAUGUUCGGCGGUCGAACUUGAGAUUCGGCGAUCGAACCUGGGUUUUUCCUCCAUGGCUUUUUCUUUCAAAAGUCGAUUUUCUUCUUCAUGAAAACCAUAAAAAUAUAUAAAAACAUUUUAGAAAACCUUUAUUUUACCCUUCUAGAAGGCUCCGACAUCCGAGAAUUCCGGAUUCCAACGGAGAUUCCGCCGGAAGGUAGGAACUCUGAUGCCGGGGUCUAGCCGAGUAUUACAACAAAGGUCCCACUGUAAUUAAUUAUUAACCUCUAAUUAUUACAUGUGUAAACAUCAUACUUAAUAUAAUUUUUCUUUUUAAGGAGAUGGAAAAUGACUAGUCGAUAAUCAUUAGGUAAUAAUUUCUAUCUCUCUUUCUCUGUCUACAAAUAAUUUAUGGAUCAAUGAUUGUAUUAUAGUAAUUAUAUUUUAUAAAUAAAAGAAAUAGUCAGCUUAUAAAUCUUUAUUUAUUGUGGUUAUAUUAUUUAUAAGGCUUAUAUAAUAUAUGAUAAAGCGAGAUUCUAGAGUGUUCAGAUGUGAUCACUGGGAGCAGUUCAAUUCAACGAGUUGACUAUUGAUUCAUAAUUGAUUUUGUUGGCCCCUCCAUACUUGAUCUUGGGGAGGGGAUCUAUAAAAUAAAAAAGAUGGUUAGGAGUCUAUCAGGAAUGCUCCCGGUGAGACUCUCCGAUUCUCGAGUUAGAUCAAAUAUUAUUUGAGAUUCGUUAAUAUAAAGAGGAAAUAGAGGAAAAUAAAAUAGUAAAACAUUUUUAAGAAAUCUCCAAAUGGACUUUGUUUUUAGAGAAGAGAGAGCCUCUAUCUGGUGAGGUUCCUCAGUUGAUGUAUCAGAGAGAGACUACACUUUUAGAGAACCCUUUUGUUUCAGGGAGAGUCAAUCUGCCGAAGCUUGAGAGAGGAGAGAGUUGUCUCUCUACUCUUGCCUCCUUCUUUUCGGCGAGGUGGGUUUUUGGAUAUUUAUAUCUCGAUUUCCUGCUUUAUAUCCCAUUAGAUUGGAUGGUGACGUGUUGUGGCAGAUAUGUCAGGCGACUAGUAGAUGACUGAUCAAUGCUGAGUCGUUGAGCCUAUAUUCUUUGGCAGAUGUGUUAGGUAGCUGGAAGCCUUUCUACAUGCGCAUUUAGUAUCUCAGAGUGAGCUAGAGGAGGCCGACUAUAGCUUGGAGGUCAGUUGACUUUUUCUACCUUCGUCAGGUCAUUCCCGGUCUGCACGACCUUCAUUGGAGUCGAUGGUCUUUAUAUUUAUUUCUAGAGUAUGGUACGAGUACUGAAGAGGUCGCUCUAUUCGUUCCGCGUAUUGGAGAGGUCAGGGGUGCUAAUGGCCUGAUCUUCCAUCCUUUGUAAGUCAGUCUUCCUUUGGCUCAGUCAGACCAAGUGGAAAGGUUAACUCCUCUCUUUCAAAUCACGAGUACACAUGUCGUAAUCUCAAUGGUCAUUGCUUGUUAUAUGUUAUUAGAUGCCAUUUCGCUUCUCCGAUGGUUAUUUAUGGCGGUUGGAGGAGCGAAUUUACUUUUAUAGAGCCGUUGUGAGCAGUUUUAGACACGUUUUUCUCUGAGAAAUGCACCCUUCACCGUUAUCGAUUCUAGAAUAUGCGUCAUUAAAUGAAGGUAAUAAUUAUUGGGGGGGGGGGAUUUCAAAGAGUUGCUACCCGAGAUUUUUGAAUUUCACAGUUCUCUUAGGCCUAUAAAAACCUUCAUUGGAAUAUUUUGAACAACUUUAGAAUUUCUAAGUUUUCUCUCUGCUUCUUCAAACUUCCUCCUUCCUCAAUUCUUCUUUAACGAAGUUUCCUACUUCAAGUAUGUCUUCCCUUCUUAUGGCUCCCUUAGAAUUUCUCCUCGUAGAGGGAUUGCAGUCAAAUGUCACCUAGAAAAAUAUUCAAAGAGUCAUUCCCGAAGAGUUGCUUCAUGUGGAUUCCUACCAAAUCAGGGCUCUAUACUCCUUUGAAAGAAUAGCUUUGUUUUCUUCUCCUCCUCCUCCUGGGCUAGUUGAUGCUCAACACAGCAAAAAGCUUAUCUUCUUCUUAAAACAGUUUGAUUAUGGCAUGUCUUUUCCUCUUUCUCGCUUCCUCAUCGAGGUCUUCCUAUUCUACAAAGUGACUCCUCAGAUGCUGACUCCUAAUUCCAUCUUGUUUAUGUGUGCUUUUGAGGCAGUGUGUUGGGGAUGGGGAUUUAAGCCAUCUGUAAACCUUUUUAGGUCUCUCUUUAAGAUCCUCAGGUCAAACAAUGGGUUUUGGAACUUUAGUGGCCGCGCGGGUUUGUCUAUUUUUACAGGCCAUAAGAAUUCCAUCCAUCACUAGGUUGAGAGUUUCGCUAUCAUUCAUUUGAGAGGAGAACGGAUUUGGAUUUUUGACUUAUCUUGGGAGGAUGUCAAUUCUGGGUGUAACAUUUUUCCUUUCUUAUCUGAAUGGGAGCAACUGUAUUUUGCUCAUUUGACCUCCUUCCCUUAUAAGUACAAUGUUUUCAAAUGUCUGCAACUCCCUCUUGGGAGCGAUUGUUAUGCUAUUGGUAUAUGUUAACUGAUUUCUUAUUUUUUUUUAGCUUUUAUCCUUUUUUUGAUUAAGAUUUGUUUUUUUUUGGGUUUGCAGCUUUAAAGGUUCUGAUGGGUGAGACUGCUAUGCAUCGUAAUUUCACUUUGACUAGCGAUUUUGUCAAGCGGCCUGUUGAGCAGUUUGCUAUUCGAAAAACUAUGGAUGUGCAACCUUUGGCUAUCAUGGAACCUCCCCCGAAUAUAACAGGUGUUGGGAAGGCUGUGGAGACUGGUGAGGGAGUGGGUACUAAGAAAACCAUUGGCGAGGAGGGUGAUCAACAAGUGCCUUGCUAAGUGGGUGGCUCUCGUGACACCCUCGACACCCCUGUUUGUAACGACCCGAAAAUCGGACCGUUACCGGCACUAGGAUUCAGAUCGACUUAAGGUCGCCGGAACCCGUAGCAAGCCUACUAAGCAUCCUGUGUACCUGAUAAAAUCCCAUACAUGAACAUACAUUUCAUAAAAAUUUAAAAUUUUUCAUAUACCAAGCUUAACCUGUGCAUGCACCAUAAACUGUAUUGACUCGCGGUUGUCGAAGCCUGUAAUACCCGGCUAGACUCCGGUAUCAGAAUUCCUACCGUCCGGUGGAAUCUCGGAUGUCGGAGACCUCUAGAAGGGUAAAACCAUGUUUUCAUGAAAUGUUUUAAUGCUUUUGAUGAUUUUAAGUAAAAAGAGAAUGAGUUUUUGCAUAAGAACAACCUUGGAGGAAAGCUCAGGUUCGGCCGCCGAAACUCAAAGUUCGGCCGCCGAACAUGCAUGCGUUUCGGGUGAGCCUUAGGCCCCCGAAGGCAUAAGUGAGGGAAGUCCAGGUUCAGCCGUCGAACCUCAAGUUCGGCCGC
rnacentral:lncRNA from 1 species